GAUUUUAUUUUAUGACAGAGCUACAAGUACAAUGAAAAAUAAGACAAGAAAGUGGAUCAGGAUUUAAAUUUGCAUUCCAAUAUAUUUUCCUGGAGAGUAACAAAGGUUACACAUCAGAAGAUCAUAGCAUCCAACCCAAAUGUGGAGAGGCCCAAGAUCUUUUAUACUACAAUGCACGUCUUUAAGUUCCGUAUGUACUCUCAAGAACAAUAGUUCAAAAUUUCAAUCAUGAUUUUGGACUAAAGUUUUUCAACGUCCAUAGUAUCUUCGUUUGUCGGAUUCAUGAACUUUUUAACUUUAUGCUCAGAUCACAAGCAGCUUCAGGCUUACAGAUUGCUUCCUCUCAGCACAAGAUGUAAGUCGACUCAGUGGACGAUCAAGAAUAGCCUCUUUCUCAUCAUUACUCAGUGAGUUCUGGAAUGAGGAUGCUUAUACAUGAAUGAAUUUGGAUCAUAGUUUCUUUUCUUUGGUGUGCACUCAUACACUUAAGCGGGAAGUGAGAUGAAGGAAGGUGUCUUCACUGCAGGGGAUUGUGAUACCACCCAUGGGAUGAUCCUAUCCAAAUUCUUCUUCAGCUUGACUCAGCAAAUCCCGGAACAAAGGCUCAUUCAAAUAUGAUAUUGGAAUCAAAAACCGUUUCUUUUGGCUCUUCCCAACAUCGACUGCAAAAUAGCCUUUUGGGAUAUCUAAGGUCUUUGAAUCAUCUGUCUGACUUGAACUAGAUAGAGAUCGAAUGAGACUUCUCUUGGCGUUAACAAUUCCAGGCAACCGGAAACCCAUGAUUUAGUAUUCUCAAGAGGACAAGACAAGAGGAAAAAGAUUGGCAAGGAAUUGGAAAAAACAGAGAGAGCUUUGAUGCGUGGGAAGGAUAGGACUUGAGUAGCUCAUGAUGAACCGAUCAUAGUAUAUAUAUAGCUGAAAGGUAUGCAAAAAAAUCAUCAGGUACAUGGAAUGAUUUGUACCGAAAAGGAACUGAGAGGAGAAGCAAUGAGGACCACUAGCUGUACGAUAGUCAAAGUUUACACUAGCUGUUAUCAUUCUGAGUUUAUCUCUUUCUCAGAUUAGGAAGAGGUACUCUUCUAGAGCAUUUAGCUAGAGAGAAUGAAUAGGAGAAUAUGAAAAAUGCACUGUUCUAUUGAUUUCUGCAAAACUGCAGCUUACAAAGUGUGACUGCUAGGAGAGAAAUGUGAUUCUCUUCUAACAGAAUUACAGCUGUCAUCCUAUUAGAUUCUUACACCUGUCAUAGCAAAUCUAAGCUAGAGAAUCCACCUAGACUAUGAUCUAAUGGCUCUCCUUACAUCAUUUAAAUAAGCUGACCAAAAACAGAACAAAUAGAGAAUAGCUUCAGCUCUAAGAAAUCUGCUGCAGGAUUAUAUUUCAACACUCCCUUCUAAUCCUUUAGCUGAUUUCACACCAAGCAAGCUUCUCAGCCUCACAAACCGAUCCUUAGGUAGAGCUUUAGUCAAGAUGUCUGCUAUCUGAUCUUCUGUUUUGCAGUAUAUCAGUUCAAUUUCUUUUGCUUGAAUGGCUUCUCUGAUAAAAUGAAAUUUCCUGCUGAUGUGUCUUGUCUUUUGGUGAUGGACUGGAUUCCUUGCCAUUGCAAUUGCUGAGGUGUUAUCACAUAGAAUCUGAGUCCCUUCUAUCUGUUCUUCACCAAAAUCUUCAAGCACAAAUCUCAGCCACUUAGCUUGUGAAGUUGCUUCUGCAGCACUCACAUAUUCAGCUUCGGCUGUAGAUAGAGCAACUGUGUUUUGCUUGAUGGAAGCCCAAGAGAACAUGCCUGAGCCUAGUGUGAAGGCAUAUCCUGAGGUGCUCCUCAUAUCAUCUUACUCCCAGCCCAGUCACUGUCACAGUACCCAAUUAGAGUAGCUGUCUUCCCUUUUGCAAACUCAAUUCCAAAAUCCAAUGUGCCUUGAAUGUAUCUCAGCACCCUUUUAGCAGUUCCCAUGUGUUUCUUUGAGGGAUUGUGCAUAAAUCUAGCAAGCAAGCUAGAUGCAAACAUGACAUCUGGUCUUGUGGCAGUCAGAUAAAGGAGACUUCCUACAAUCUGUCUGAAUUCACUUUCAUCUGCUGCUUCACUCCCAUCUUCUCUACACAAUUUCUCAUUCACCACUAAUGGAAUUGCCACUGACUUGCAAUCUCUCAUUCCAAACUUCUCAAGAAUUUUCAUGGCAUAUUUCUUUUGAUGAAUGAAAAUAUGCUUGUCAGUUUGUUCCACUCCCAUGCCAAGAAAAUGAUGCAACAGACCCAAGUCUGUCAUCUCAUAGUGUUGCAUCAUAUCUUGUUUAAAUUCUUCAAGCAUUUUAGGACAGCUUCCAGUGUAUAUAAUGUCAUCUACAUAGAGGGAGACAAUGAUAAUACCUGAGGUGUCACUAGUUUUGAUAUAGAGAGUAGCUUCACUUAAGCUUUUCUUGAAACCUGCAGUGUUGAAAUAGGCAUCUAUUUCAUCAUACCAGGCCCUUGGGGCUUGCUUCAGUCCAUAUAGAGCCUUGUUCAACCUGAACACCUUGGUUUCCUUGCUCUCUUGAACAUAUCCUUGAGGUUGUUCAACAUAAACUUCCUCCUUUAGAAUGCCAUUGAGAAAAGCAGACUUCACAUCCAAUUGAAAUAAGUUCCAUUCCUUUUGUGCUGCAAGGGCUAUCAAAGUUCUGAUGGUGUCAAGUCUUGCCACGGGGGCAAAUGUCUCAUUAUAGUCGAUUCCAGGCUUCUGUGAGUAGCCUUUAGCCGCAAGCCUAGCUUUAUUCUUCUGCACAGUACCAUCUAGGUUCAGUUUGACCUUGUAGACCCACUUAACACCAAUUACUGGUUUGUUAGAUGGCCUGUCAACUAAUUUCCAAGUAUUGUUCUUCUCAAUCAUCUCCAAUUCAGCCUCCAUUGCACAUCUCCAUGAUUCAUCCAAAUCUGCUUCUUCAAAGCUGUCAGGUUCUACAAUGCACAUAUUGCAUUGUGCCAUGAUGUCAUUAAUACUCCUCCACUUGUGAGGUGUGUGAUCAAACCUUUGAGUCUCAUCAAGCAUUUCUUCCCCUUGAGGUGCAAUUUCUUCUUCCAUCUACAUUUGAGUAUCCAAGAACUGAGAGUGAUCAUCUAAUACCCUCUGUUCAGUUUCUGCAGUAUCUUGAUUUCCAUCUGGCAUAGGUAUUCCCACAUCUGCAUUGCUAGGAUUCUCCCAUUUCCAUGAGGCUUCUUCAUCAAAAUAGACAUCCCUAGACAAGAUAAUCUUUCUUGUCUUAGGAUCAUACAGUCUAUAGCCUUUUUCACACAAUCCAUAGCCCACAAAAAUGCAUUUGUGACUGUUUUCUUCCAACUUGUGUCUCAAAACAGAAGGAAUAAGCACAUAACAUAGGCAUCCAAACACUUUCAAGUGUGCAAUACCUGGCUUUCUUCCUGUGUAGGCCUCAAAUGGUGUCAUUUUCUCAAGAGAUUUAGAAGGACAUCUGUUGAGAAGGUAGACUGCUGUAUGAACAGCUUCUGCCCAAAACUCAUAAGGAAGAUUCUUUUCAUGUAGCAUAGACUUUGCCAUCUCAAUUACUGUCCUGUUCUUCCUCUCAGCAACUCCAUUUUGCUGAGGAGAAUAUGCCACUGUCAGCUGCCUUUGUAUUCCAGCCUCACUGCAGUAUGCAAGGAAUUCAUUUGACAUGAAUUCUCCACCUCUAUCACUUCUAAGUGACUUCACUUUGUGUCCACUCUGCAAUUCUGUCAUUGCUUUGAACUUCUUGAAACAUUCAAAAGCAUUAGAUUUAUUUCUGAGAAAAUAAACCCAAGCCAUUCUUGUAUGGUCAUCAAUGAAUAAUAGGAAAUAUCUGUUUUCUGACAUUGAUGCAGUCUGCAUUGGACCACAGAUGUCAGUGUGAACUAAUUCUAGUGGAGACUGAGCUCUCCAAGUAGAUUUUGCAGGAAAUGAGUCUCUAUGCUGCUUUCCCAACUUGCAGCCUUCACACACUGCUAAGUCCUUCUCCAGACUAGGCAGUCCAUGAACCAUGUCUUGAUUUGCUAGCAUCUUGAUGCUUUGAUCAUUAAGAUGACCCAGCCUUUUAUGCCAAGUCUGCAAACUGUGAGUCACACUUGCUCUCAGCACCAACUGAGUAGCAGGUACCAUUGUGAGAGAGAAACUGUCACACCCCGGACCGGCUCCGCCGUAGCACGAUAUUGUCCGCUUUGGGCCCCCCUCUCUGCCCUCACGGUUUUGUUUUUGGGAGCUCACGAAGCAACUUCCCAGGGUGGUCACCCAUCCUGGGAUUGCUCCAGCCUCCCACUCGCUUAACUUUGGAGUUCUUACAACUCUGAAGCCAGUGAGCUCCCAAAAGGCCUCGUGCUACGGCGGAGCCGGUCCGGGGUGUGACAAUUUGGUAUCAGAGCCACUCUGCCGUGUGGUGCGAGUGUGCCGACGAGGACGUCGGGCCCUUAAGGGGGGUGGAUUGUAAGAUCCCACAUCAAACCAACGGAGAGGGGGGUGAUGUGCCUUAUAUGGCACACCCGCAUCCAUCUAGCACGAGGCCUUUUGGGAGCUCACUGGCUUCGGAGUGGUAGGAACUCCGAAGUUAAGCGAGUUGGAGGCUAGAGCAAUCCUAGGAUGGGUGACCCACUGGGAAGUUGCUCGUGAGUUCCCAGAAACAAAACCGUGAGGGCCAGAGAGGGGGGGCCCAAAGCGGACAAUAUCGUGCUACGGCGGAGCCGAUCUCGGGAUGUGACAGAAACACCUAUUGCUAGUCAUUGGAACCUUAGCUAUAGGGUUUUGCAGUGACCAAUCAUCAAAAAUUGUCACCAUUCCCUUUCCAAAUACUAAACAAUACCCAUGUUCCAUCAUCUGACCAACACUUAGCAAGUUCUCUUCUAAACCAGGCACCAACAUCACUUCUUGAAUGUGUUUUCUGCCUGAUUUGGUUUCUAUCACAAGAGUACCUUUUCCUGCAACUUGAACUGUCUCUCCAGUCCCCAUUUUCACCUUGGAAGUUACAUUCCUUCGAAUGUCUAUCAGUAGCCUUUCAUCUCCAAUCAUAUGGUUGCUACAGCCACUGUCCACAUACCAAGAGUUGCUCAUUUUCACAUCUGUCACAGCAUUGCAUGCAUAAAACAAUGUUCCAGUUUCUUCAACCUGAUUGGCAUAGUUCACCUUUUGCACAGAUUGAUUGUCAUGACAAUUUCUAACCAUGUGACCAAACUUUCCACAUCCUCUGCAUUUUGGUUUUCCUUCAAACCAGCACUUGCCAUAGUGCAGUUUUUCACAGUGCUUGCAGGGUGUUUUAGUUCCAUCAUUUGAUGCAUUUGGUUUGGUAUUUGAAUUGGACUUGUUAUUCCAAUUCUUCCUAUUUUCCUUCCAGUUCUUCUGAGACUUGUUACAUCCAGAAGAACUUCCAUUCUUAGAGCUUUUACUCUCAAUGUUCAGACUAGUGAAAGCCUUUUCUGUUGAAUUUUCAUUGUGCCUGUCUAAUCUGAGCUCAAAGUUCUUGAGAGAUGCAACCACUUCUUGAAUUUCAAGAGUGUCAAGAUCCUUUGAAUGCUCAAUCACAGAACAUAUAGAAUCAUAAGAUCUAGGCAAACUAAUAAGCAAUUUCUGCACAACUCUUUCUCUAGGUAACUCUUCACCAUAAUUCUUCAUUUGAUUUAUCAGAUCAAACAGUUUAGCAGCAUAAACAGAAAAUGAUUCACUAUCCUUCAUACGAGUGUAUUCAAACUCUCUACGUAAGCCUUGUAGUUUCACACUUCUUACCUGUUUAUCACCUCUAAACUCCUGCUUCAGGAUAUCCCAUGCACCUUUUGAGGUUUCUUCAUUCACUAUUCUGGGAAAAAUUUGGUCUGAGACUGCACCUUGGAUCAGUCCAAGUGCACGAGCAUCUUUCAUCAAGGUCUCAGCUGAUACAGAUUUCUCUUCUUCAGCAGCUUUAGAUCCCUCUUCCUUUCCUUCUUCCUUCGUUGGAUCUGAAGCAUCAAAGCCAUUUUCAACUAAAUCCCACAGUCCAUGAGAUUUCAGAAUGGUCUUCAAUCGAAUGCUCCAAAACUUAUAGUUUUCUCCAUUGAAUACUGGUGUACGAAGCUCAGAAGAGCUUGAUCCUGCCAUAUUAGACAUCAGACGCAGCUAGACAAGCUUCGUGAAGUUUUGAGUGAGCUCAAUCGUCAGCUCAGCCAAGCACCAGCUCCUUCUUCACAGAUUCACGCCCAAUAAACAAUCAAAACCUGGCUCUGAGGCCAUGUUAUCAUUCUGAGUUUAUCUCUUUCUCAGAUUAGGAAGAGGUACUCUUCUAGAGCAUUUAGCUAGAGAGAAUGAAUAGGAGAAUAUGAAAAAUGCACUGUUCUAUUGAUUUCUGCAAAACUGCAGCUUACAAAGUGUGACUGCUAGCACUACUACAAAAAGUGAAAAAGACGACCAGAAAACAACGACGGUCUAAGUGAAAACCGUCGUGGUUUUUAAAAAGACGACGGUUCUAAAAACACCGUCGUGUAAUACAACCUUAGACAACUAAAAAAUGGAGAUUCAAAUGGCUGUUCAAAAACAACGACGUACAUAAUUAAACAACCGACGUCUAUUUGAAACAGAUUUCCGCAGUGUAAAAUCAAUGCCAACAAAGAACAGCAGAAGUUAUGAAUCGACCGACGUAGAAAGUAAAGACGACGAUUUCAAUAAAAACCGCCAUUUUUACUCAUAAAAUAACACGACGAGGUUUUCGUAUAAGACGCCGUAUAAUUACAAACAAAUCCAUGGCUUUAAAAUACAAAAUAUCGCCGUAUUAAAUUAAUGUACAACGACGGAAAAUAUAAAUAUAUGGACGUCAUUCUCGUAUAGUUCUACGACGUUAUCUUUAAAUCGUACAAUAAAAUUUAACAUCGUAUUUAUUCAUUUUAUACGUCGUACAUGUCGUCUUAAUAAGAAUUUUUGUUAACAAUUUUUUUCUUUGAUUUUCUUAUCCUACGUCGGUAGAUCUACUUAAUGACAAGAAUUGAAAUAACCACGACGGUUUAUAUAGAAAACCGCCAACAUAAUCAGAUUUGUCUGAGAUCCCAAGGGUUACGAAAUCUUACCAGAUGGAACUCUGUUCCACAUCAUAAUCUUAACAGAUGACACUGAUUUGCAUUCAGAGAGACAAUUUUUUGGAAGUUGAUGAUGUGUGUGCGUUUGUGUAUCUACAAAUAUUAUACCUAACGUCGUUGCAAAUUUGCAAUCAGAGAGACAAUUUUCAACGACGGUUAUAUUAUACCUAACGACGUUUAAAAAACAAAUCAACGUCGCUAAACAAAUAUAUUAUGUCGUCUUAGUCUUACUUAAGACGACGAAAAACGACGACAGUAAUAAAAAACAGUCGUUGUUUUUAUAUUCUUAUUUUAUUUAAAUCUGUCCUCCAAAAAAGAAACUUUACAUAUUCCAGAACAUUAAUUUCCUUCAUUUUAAAUUUCCCCCGGAAAAAAAAACUCUAUUUAUAACGCACUGUAAUUGAAAAAUAAACUGAAAGGUCACGGGAAAAAAAAUUCUAUUCAUAAUUUAAAAAUUCAAAUCCACGUCGGUUAUAUUAAACAUAACGACGUUAAAUGAAAAGAUUCCACGUCGCAAAACAAAUAUUGCGUCGUGUUAGUUAAAAACGACGGCAUAACAAAAAACCGUCGUUGUUUCAAACUGAAUUAAUUUAUUCGGGAAAGCAAAAUCUAUUUAUAAUUUCCUCGGGUUAGUAAUAUUGCGUCGUGUUAGUUUACAAAUUCAAGAACAUUAAUUUCCCUCAUUUUAAAUUUCCUCGGGAAAGAAAAAUCUAUUUAUCACGCUUUGUAAUUGAAAACUAAAACUGAAAGAAUUCGGGAAAAAAAACUCUAUUUAUAAUUUAAAAAUAAAAUCCACGUCGGUUGUAGUACACUUAACGACGUUUAACAAAAUAAUCUACGUCGGUAAUUAUAAAUCUACCGCCAUCUUACCUUAAUAUAGACGACGAGAAAAGACGACGGUAGAACAGAAAACCGCCGUUGUUUCAGUUUCUUUAACAGUUUGGUCCUUUAUCUUUCUGCAGGACUUGUAUAGUUCAAAGCAUUGACAAUGUCUUCAUCAUAUCUCCCAGCAACUACUGAUUCGAUUGCUCAUGCUUUAGAGGCCAUCUGAAGCCAUUUCUAUUCUUUAUCGCAUUCUUGAAACCCAUCUUCUUCUUCUGAAGCUCUACGGAUAAAGGAAGAGGCUAUCACAAAUCUGACGGAUCUUCUUAGCCAAGAAAAUCAAGCAGAUUUCCCUGAGAAGCGAACUUUCCUUCGACAGCGAGUGGAGGCCAGGCUUGCAUCUCUUUUGAUGGAAAGCAAGGAGUAUUCAGAAGCACUAAGUGUCCUAUCAGGCUUGAUCAAGGAAGUGAGAAGGCUAGUUGACAAGCUUCUUCUUGUGGACAUAUAUUUGAUGCGAGUAAGCUCAAUUUCUCUUUGAGAAAGACAUCCAAAUUAUUGUCUUUGAGACGUGAGAGACUGAGAGAGGAAGAACUUGGAACCGUAAAUGUAAACCGAAAAUGAAUGAAAGCGACAAAUUUAUAGAAUAAAUUUUUAAAACCAACGGCGGUCCUUACAAAAAAACCGCCGUUUAAAUUGUAAAAUCAACGUCGGUAUGAUCGACGUAUAUUACAGAAAUCCACGUCGGUACAUUAAUAAAAACGACGUGUUAAAUAAUCUACCAUGACGCGAGUUAUUACUUAUGUACUUUAAUUUUUGAGUUUACUACGAUGGUACCUACAACACUACUGUCGUAUUUAUUUACCACGUCCGAAGUUAAAUGUACCGUCGUAUUUUGUAAUUUAUACGUCGUAGUUAUAUAUAACCGCCAUAUUAUUUUUUUGAAAUGGUUUUAUAUGUAAGCAACUUUUCGUCUACCUGACAUACACAUGCGCUGUUUCCAAACCCGAUUAAAAAUUUCAAUCUCCCAGAGAAAACUUUUAGACUUUUUUCCUUGUCAGAGCACUGUCAGAGUAUCUCAUCGUCUUCCUCUCGUCUUCUUCGUCGUCUCUGAACUUAAACAUAAUCUUCCUCUUGCUUUCAUUAUACGCAAAAGGUAAGCUUUCAUUUUCACUAUUUUGGUUGCUGUUUUGCAUGCUCAUACGUUUUUUGUUUGAAAAAUCUUUUUACCUUUUUUCUGGCCAAAAUCAUUUUACUUCUUUCCAAGUUCGAUAAAAUAUACAGACAAAGAGGGAAAGUUUCCAACUUUGAAGACAACUACCUCAACUAAAUAAGACGACGGUAGCUUCUUAUUUACGUGGUUAAAUAUGUAGACCACGACGGUUCGUCAGUCGUUCUAGCGUCGUCUGAAAAUUGACAAAGUUGUUUUUAAAAUUAUAGUCUUUUUUUUAUUUGCUUGUUUAAUUGCAGGUUUGAUUUCUCUGAACAAUGGUUUUUGUUUUUCCCUAAUUUGAUAAAAUAUAAAGAAAAAGAAAGUAGGGUUGGUAUCUAAUAUAGACGACAGUAUCUUAUUGUUUUACGUCGUGUGAAUGUUAAUACCACGACGUCAUAUUAAAAUACCGUCGUCUAUAUAAGAUUCCAAAACUUUCUUUCUUGGCCUUGUAUUUUAUCAAAUUAGAAAACAAAAACCAUGGUUCAGAAAAAUCAAAUCUGCAAUCAAACAUUCACAGAGAAAGAAAGAAGGGUUUUGGAUCCUUAUAUAGACGACGGUAUAUUACUACUGACGUCGUGUAAACAUCAAUACCACGACGUUAUAUAAAUAUUUCGUCGUUUAUAGUUAAUUAUCACGUCGUUUAUAGUUAAUUAUUUCGUUGUUGUUUAAUUACCUUGGUUUUAAACAUUUAUUACGUCUGAGAUUAUUUCAUUGCGUCGUUUAAAAUCAUAUCAUACGUCGUAUUUUAUUAAUAACCGUCGUUUGUGUUCUUAAUCUUUUCCUGAAAUAUUUUCACUUGCAGUUUUGUCUGUAAAAAUGGUUUCUCACCAAGACCAAAGUAAGGAUUCUGGCUCCAAGAAAAAUGGAGGUAAGGAGCUUGGAAUGGUACCUCCUCAAGUGAAGCCUUCGAAGAAGAUGAAGUUUGCUCCAUCAUCUGCUGAGACAGAACCAACCAGCACGACAACAAUCUCUGAUGAUUCAAAGUCUGGUCGAGGUAUGAGCACAAUGCCUCGUGUUGUGAAGAGAAAACUUCAGAAACUGAGGCCAAUUGUUGAGUACAAUAAAAGGGGGAAAGGAAUUGGCCAAGCACAUAGUGAGAUGCAGUCCUACAUUGGUGUGUUGGCACGCUCCAGAGUUCCACUUGUGGACAUGAAAUGGGCUCAAAUCCCCAAGGAUAUAAAGGAGCAGAUUUGGGAAGCAGUUGACAUUGCUUUUGUGGUAGGUCAAGGGGGCAAGAGCUCUGUGUUAGCUUCUGCUGUCAAGAAAUAGAAGGAUUUCAAGUCUACACUAACGAGGCAUUAUAUCCUUCCAUACACCAAUGACAGGGAGAGAUUAAGCCAACCCCCUGAAACAUAUAAAUUCAUAGAGAAAGCACAAUGGGAUGCCUUUGUAGCUUCAAGGUUAUCCAAAGAUUUUGAGUCUGUGCAUUCUCAACAUGCACAGAUUAGGGAGAAACUUGAGUACAAUCAUCGAUUGUCUCGAAAAGGAUAUGCUGGUUUGGAGGAUCAAUUGGAGGAAACCAUGCCUGGGGUAGAAAUUGGUCGAUCUACCUUAUGGAAGAGAGCUAGACAGGACAAACAUGGUAACAUCCCGGAUCCAAAGGUGGCAGAGAAAGCAAAAUUAAUUGUAAGCCUACUCACUCUGUUUUAAAUUUUUAUUCAACUGUGAAUAAUUCUUAUUACGUCUUAUGUUAUAUUUUGCGUCGUGUGAAUGAUAUUACCACGUCGAAAUUUUUUAAACAACGUCGUUAAAGGUCUAAAUAGGAAUCACUACUCUGUUUUCUGUAAUUAUAGCAUAAGAUGUCGGUGGUUCAUUUUCGCGUCGUUUGUAUUGAAUUACUACGUCGAAAUGUUUUAAACAAGGUCGUUAAAGGUGUGAAUAUUGAAUCAUCCCUCUGUUAUCUGUAAAUAAAGCAUAAGACGUCGGAGGUUUAUUCAUUUCGUCGUUUUAAAAACUAACCACGUCGGUAUAACUACCGUCGUGAUAAAUUAUAAUAACGUCGAUUUAUAUGUUAUUGCGUCGUGUGAAAUUAUAUAAUACGUCGUUUGUAUAUAAAUAACCGUCGUGUGUUUUUGUUCUUACUUUUUUAUAUAUCUUUGUUUUAGGAUGAAUUGCAAAAACAAGUCUCGGAAGGCAAAGUCACUGUUUCUGGCAGCAAUGAUGUGCUGACCAUGGCUUUGGGCCCCGAGCAUCCAGGCAGAGUGAGAGGAGUAGGUGCUGGGAUCUCACCAAGGCAAUAUUUCAAUUUACCCAAACCACAGAGAGUGAGCUUUGACGACCGUUUGAAUGACAGUUUAAGAGUUCUCCUUCAAGAAGAGACUAAAAAGAUGGAAGCUAAGGCAAGGGAAGAGGCUUUAAGGAUGGAGGCUAGAACGAAACAAUUGGUAGAGGCUGAGAGGGAGCAUUUCCUGAGUCAGCUUUCCCAAUUAAUUCCCAAUUUUGAUCCAAGCAUGCUUAAACCCAGAAUUAGCCAAAGUCCCAAAAAUCCAAUGUCUGACAAAACAAGCUGCUCUGGAGGUGAUGUGAGAUCCCAGCAUUUUGAGGAUGAUACUGCCAAAAAUGGGAAACAUCAGGAAGAAAAGGUAACAUAUCUGAACUUUGAAUUCUCUGUUUUUUUAAAAACCAUUAGACGUCGUUAUUAUUAAUAAAACCGUCGUUUGAAAUACAUACCACGACGAUUUUAAAAAUAAGUCGUCGUUUGUAUUUCAAUACCACGUCGUAUUUAGUUUACUUGUUUUACACGCCAUUAAACGUCGUUAUUUUUAAAACUUUGUGGUUUUUAGACGACGGAGUUAGUCAUUCCCGCCGUAAUAGAUGAAGAGAAGAGAGAAGAAAAACAAGAUGAAAAGGAGAAAGAAGAUGACGACCAGGUAUGUUCACAUAACUUUGCCUUUUUUAUUUGUUUUUCAAAAUUCCAGACGUCGAUAUUUUUCUUUAAACCGUCGUUUGUUUACAACUUAGACGGCGGAAUUUUUUUCUAAGACGUAAUAAAUUAUUCACCACGACGGUUUCUUCACCGUCGUUUAAAUUCUUUUCAGACGACGUUGUAUUCCUUAAACCGUCGUUUUUAUUGAAUUACCACGUCAUUUUUUUUAUUUCUUUAAACAGGUUAUUCAAGGUGUUGAUUAUUCAAAUAUGGAGGCGCCAUCUUCUUUAAAAUCCCUUUGUCGUUAUGUGGAAACGACACUCGUGCCUCAGGAUAAGACCCUGCACUUUACAAUUGAUAAGGAGGUGUUUGGUCUAGAGCGCGAUACCUUCCUCCUGCCUGAAGAUAUUACACAAUUUGCAGGCAUGGAAGAAAUAGGAGCCACUGUCAUUGCUGUAUAUAUGAGGUUUGUCAUUCUAAAAUAAUACGUCGUUGGUUUAUUUAUUGCGUCGUCUUAACCAACUAACCGCGUCGUUAGUAUGUACCGUCGUGAUAAAUAUAUUAUAACGUCGUUGUCUAUUUCAGUACGUCGUGUGAAAUUUUAUAAUACGUCGUUUUGUUAUACAUAACCGUCGUGUGUUUUAUGUAUAUAUGAGGUUUGUCAUUCUAAAAUAAUACGUCGUUGGUUUAUUUAUUGCGUCGUCUUAACUAACUAACCACGUCGGUAGUAUGUACCGUCGUGAUAAAUAUAUUAUAACGUCGUUGUCUAUUCCAGUACGUCGUGUGAAAUUUUAUAAUACGUCGUUUUGUUAUACAUAACCGUCGUGUGUUUUUUUGUGCUGACUUGUUUAUAUUAUUUUAUAUAUCUAGGUACUUACACGAUGUUUUGAAACGAGCAAAUAUGUGCUCCAUGGUUGGCUUUAUCGACCCUGCUACAGUUAGUGCCAGCUCUGGCACAAUAGCUGACAGAUCACGCCUACUAGCAGCUCGACUUCAGAGGACUGACGGUGAACAGAUUUUCCUGAUGCCUUACAAUCCAGGGUUAGUCUCCUUAACAGGAUUUUGAUUUUAUGAUUUUCAAUAAAUGACAGCGUAUAAACUAACCACGUCGGUGUUUUAUUUUAUUGAGUCGUUGCAAAACUACUAACCACGUCGGUAGUUAUUUAUCGUCGUGAUAAAUUUAUAAUGUCGUCGAUUGCUUCUUUAUUUCGUCGUGUGAAAUAUUAUAAUACGUCGUUUUUGUAAAUAACCGUCGUUUUAUAUUAAUUUUGUGCAGCCGUCAUUGGAUCUUGCUGAUUGUAAGAGCAAAGAGAGAAACCGUCUAUUUUCUGGAUUCUCUGCCAGGAAAUCGUGUGGUCGAUGAAGAGGCCAAAAACAUUGUGAACAGUGCUAUAAAAAUUUAUAACUCUCACAUAGCUAGACCAGGCCGUAAGGCAGUCAUUUGGAAAACUCUGUCAGGCACACCAAAGCAACCCAGCAGUGUCGAAUGCGGGUAUUAUGUGAUGCACUUCAUGAGGGACAUCAUCAUGGAUCCUUCCUUGGGGUUUGAGAAGAAGGUAAGAAGAAAUUACCUUCAUACAUUUUACGUCGUUUUAUGUAUUAUCAACGACGGUCAUGUAAAAUUACCGUCGUUGAAUAGAUAGUACGUCGGUUAUGAAAAAUAUCGUCGUCUGUGAUUUAAUUUCUUUUUAUUUAUAAACCCUAAUAGUCAUUGUUUAUGUAGUAUGCCAAGGGAAAACAGGAAGCGCCAUACCCCCAAGAAGCAAUUGAUGAAGUCUGGAAUGAAUGUGCAGAGUUUGUUUGCCUUCACCUGGAAUAGGGGAAUUAUUGAACGCUUGAUAUUUAUGUAUAAUGUACAAAUUUUGUCUAUAAUAUAUAAUGUAAAAAUUUGUUGAGGUUUUCUUAAAUUAAAAAAAAAAACAAACAUACAAAUUGCGUAAACGACGUGUAAUACUUUUCCAACGACGUAAUAAAGUCAAAAGCCGUCGUUUUUUGUUGUUUCGUUUUAAACAAAUCCGACGUAAAAGGAUAUUUAGACGACGUUCUUUGAACAAUUGAGUCGUUUAUGGUUUACAACGUCUUCAAUUUCUUAAGGGUUCAGGGUAGUACUUUGUAACGACAGCGGUUAAGUCGUGGAAUAUAUAUUUUAUGUCGGAUAGUUAAAUAUCCGCCAUGGUUUCUCAUUUAAACGACGUCAUUUUAACAACUUAGUCGUCUAUUACAAUUUACAACGUCUACAAUUUAUUAACACCGACGUGGUUUGUUGUUGUGAUAAGAAUAUUUUAUUAUUUUUAUAUCAAAAUAUUCAAAAUAAAUUUAAAAUAAAUCAGAAAAAUGCAAAGUCAACUCCUAUGAAGUCAUUGAUAUAUUUUCUUCCCCUAAACCUUGAAAAAAUUCAUUUUGAAUAACAAAAAUUUAAAAUGGCCAUCCAAAACAAAAUUAUUUUGAUGAGUCAUAAAAUCACUUCUAGUUUUAUGGUUUAGGGUUUAGAGUCUAGGGUUUAGAGAUUAGGGUUGUUAUUUAUUGGGGUUUAUUUUUAAAGUAUAAUUUUUGGGUAGUCUAGGGUAUAUAUUAGGCUGUAAAACCAUAAACCCUUUUAUAAACUUAAUUUUUAAAAUUAUAUAAUUUAGUUUUAAGGGUUUAGGGUAUUAAUUGUUAACGACGGUGGUUGAGUCGUGGAAUACAUAUGUUACGUCGUGCAGUAAAAUAUCCGACAUGGUUUCCACUUUAAACGACGUCAUUUUAAUAUGUAAGUCGUCUAUUAUAAUUUACAACGUUUUCAGUUUCUUAACUUCGACGUGGUUUUUCAGUCGUCUUUAUAUCAAAAUAUUCAAAAUAAAUUUAAAAUUAAUUCGAAAAAUGAAGCGUCAAAAGAAACGGCGUUACGUUCAGUGUUUCCGUCGUGGAAUAUUACAUUUACGUCGGUUCUUGUAGAACUUUCGCCAUGGUUUUUCUUUCGACGUUUUAAAGAACGCGCGCUCUAAAAAUUUUCGCGCGCCCUAAAUUUUUUUAUAUUUGGCUCUUAUUCUUAUACUUCUAACCCUGAACCCUAAAAUUUUCAGAUUUCGCGCAACAUAACAUUCGCUCUCUCACUUCUGCUCUAAUUAAAAGUUGCACUCUCCAGGCUCCGUCGAAUCUGUAAGCUCGUCCAACCUGUAAGUACAAACCCUAUCUUCCCCUUGUAAAUUCAUUGAAUGAUAUUAGGUUGUUUUGUUAAAUGGUUUUAGGUAUAUGCUUUGCGAUCUGUUAAUAAUGUGCUUAUAGGUAUGGGUUCAUGGAUUUUCUGUUUAAUGGGUUCAUGGAUUUUCUGUUUAAUGGGUUCAUGGAUUACAUUAUCUGUUAUGUUGAAUUGGGAAUGGAUUUAAUUUUGUCGGAUCUUUUAAUCACCCUAUGUUAUGUUGAAUUGGGAAUGGAUUUAUUGUUUUCAUGCUUGGUUUCAUGUAUAUGUUGGUUUCUUGCUUGGUUUCAUAUAUAUGUUGUGUUCUUAAUGGGUUUUGGGUUCUUGAAAAUAAACUGAGACACGACGCCUUUUUAGGCAUACGACGACGAUUACACGACGGUUUAUGAAAAAACUGUCGUUGUAUUACUUAUACACGACGGUUUUUUCAUAAACCGUCGUUUGUAUUACUUAUAUUAGACGACGUCUGUUGAAAAUCCGUCAUCUAUAUAUGCCAAAUACGUCUGUUUUUGUUUAAAACUCGUCGUCUCUGUUGUGUAUUACUUGCUAUUAGAUCUUUGUAUAAUCUGCUAUAGUGAUGGUCAUUGCCUGUAUUUUCACUUUAUUAUAGAUAAUAGGUUAUAGUGUCGGAGAUGGAUAAGUCAUGGAUGCACUCGAAUAGAAGAUCGAAGGCAUAUGAGUUUGGGGUGGAAGCAUUUUUGAACUUUGCUGUAGAAAAUCUUCUAACUACAACACAUAUCCGUUGUCCAUGUGUUAAAUGUGUUAAUUUGAAGUUGUUUGGGGUUGGAAUUAUAAGGGAUCACUUAUACUUUAAUGGAAUUGACCAAAGCUAUAAGAAUUGGACAUUUCACGGAGAACCUUGGGAAGCAACUACUAAUGCUAGUAGAAAUGUUGAAGAAGAUGAUGGCCAUAGUAGGUACAGUUUUGUGUCUGAAGAAAUUGAUAUGGAUGAUAAUGAUUUUGGUGAUUUUGGUUCUGAUCCGUAUGAGUUUGCCAAUGUGAUUGGGGAUGGAGAUCAACCAGUGUACCCUGGUUGUAGAAAGUACACGAAGUUAUCGGCAUUAGUGAAGUUGUAUAAUUUGAAGGCAAAACAUGGGAUGAGUGAUGUCUGUUUUACAGAAUUAUUGAUACUUCAAGGCGAUUUGCUUCCAGAAGGAAAUACAAUACCAACCUCUAUGUAUGAGGCUAAAAAGACUUUGUGUGCAUUGGGGCUGAGUUAUGAGAAAAUGCACGCAUGCCCCAAUGAUUGCAUCUUGUAUAGGAAGGAGUAUGAGGAUUCAACUAAUUGUCUUACUUGUGGUAUCUCAAGGUGGAAGGAAGGCAAAGAUUCAAUCUUGAAAGAGGGUGUGCCAGCGAAGGUGGUGUGGUAUUUUCCUCCAAUUCCAAGGUUUAAAAGGAUAUUUCAAUCACAUGAGACAGCUAAGAGUUUGACUUGGCAUGCUGCUAGAAAAUCAAUUGACGGUCAGAUGUCUCAUCCGGCGGAUUCCCCGUCUUAGAAACUUCUUGAUGAUAAAUGGCCUGAGUUUGGUAAUGAGCCGAGAAACUUGAGAUUGGCUCUUUCAUCUGAUGGAUUCAAUCCCCACAGUUCUCUAAGUAGCAGAUAUAGUUGUUGGCCGGUUAUCUUAGUUACAUAUAAUCUCCCUCCAUGGCUGUGCAUGAAACGAAAGUUCAUGAUGUUAACCUUAUUGAUUUCCGGUCCUAAACAACCCAGAAAUGAUAUAGACGUCUACUUGGAGCCUUUGAUUGAUGAUUUAAAAUCUUUGUGGGAUGGGAUUAGAGGAGUGUAUGAUGCACAUAAUGGAGAAUACUUUACACUCAGAGCUGCAUUAAUGUGGACAAUUAAUGAUUUCCCCGCCUAUGGAAACUUAUCUGGUUGUGUUGUUAAAGGAUAUAAAGCUUGUCCAAUAUGCGGCGAUGAUACACCUAGUCACAGGUUGAAAAAUGGCCACAAAAUUUGUUACAUUGGGCAUAGAAAAUGGUUACCAAUCAAUCAUCCAUAUAGGAGGCAACGUGCAGCUUUUAAUGGGAAACCUGAAUAUGGCAUACCUCCCGAGCCAUUAACCGGAGAAGAAGUGCUGCAUAUGGUUGAAAAUGGUGACAGAGUUUGUUGGAAGAAGAACUCAAUAUUCUUUGAUCUCGAGUAUUGGAAAUACCUUCCUAUGAGGCAUGCCCUAGAUGUUAUGCACAUUGAGAAGAAUGUUUGGGAUAGUAUUAUUGGUACAUUGCUGGAGAUCCCUGGAAAAAAUAAAGAUGGGAUUGCUGCUCGAUUAGAUUUAUUGAACAUGGGGGUCAAAACUGAUUUGCAACCCGAGUAUGGAGAAAGACGUACUCGUUUGCCUCCUGGGCCUUGGAAUUUGUCAAGAGCAGAGAAGAGAGAGGUUUGCAAUUCUUUCUAUGGUAUGAAGGUCCCUGAAGGUUAUUCUUCAAAUAUUAAAAAUCUUGUAUCUUUACAAGAUUCAAGACUUCUUGGCCUUAAAUCACAUGAUUGUCAUACCUUAAUGCAACAAUUGCUCCCUGUGGCAAUUCGUUCUGUUUUGGAGAAGCCUGCCAGGUAUGCAAUAACUCGUUUGUGCUUCUUCUUCAAUGCUAUAUGUGCAAAGACUGUUGAUGUUUCCAAGCUAGAUAAGUUGGAAGAAGAUGUAGUAGUUACUCUGUGUUUGCUUGAGAAGUACUUUCCCCCUUCAUUCUUUGAUAUCGUGGUUCAUCUAGUAGUACAUCUUGUCAGAGAAGUUCGUCUAUAUGAGCCAGUAUAUUUUAGGUGGAUGUAUCCGUUUGAAAGAUAUAUGAAAGUUCUGAAGGGGUAUGUUCAGAAUCGUACUCGUCCCGAAGGUUGCAUUGCUGAGCGGUAUAUAGCUGAAGAAGCGGUAGAGUUUUGUACUCAGCAUUUAUCUGAUGUUAGUACAGUUGGAGUGCCUUCAAGCCAAAAGAUGGGACUUUCAAAGCCAUUAUCAGGUUGCACAGUGAGCGUAGUUGAUCAGGACCUGUUGAAUCAAGCACAUCUAUAUGUCUUGGAGAAUACGGAGGAAGUCCUACCUUAUAUCGAGUACGUAUGAGUUUUAUUCUUUAAGUUUCCAUUUUAAAUUAUUUCUUAUGUUUAUCUUCUAUAUUUGGGACCGUAAUGCUUGAAUUUUUCGUGUCAUGUAGGCAACAUAUGAUCCACAUCAAGACUGCUUAUCCAAAAUUUAGAAAGAGAACAAAGUGGCUGCAGGAUAAGCACAAUAGCACUUUCAUUCAAUGGCUACGCUUCAAGGUAUAUGUUGUUGAAUAACAUAUUUCUCUUUUAAUUUUCUUCUUAUUUCUAUGUUAGAUUAAGAUAUAUGAUUAAUUUGCAGGUUCAAAGUGAACUUGAGGAAGACAAUCAUGGCGUAUCAGAAAAUUUAAGGUGGCUAGCAGCUGGUCCAAACAUGGCAGUGCCAUUAUAUAGGAGCUAUCUUAUUAAAGGUAUUAAAUUCAAUAUCAAGGCACAAGAUGAUGUGCGGACAACUCAAAAUAGUGGAGUUUAUUUACUUGCACAUACCAUGCAAGUUGCUAGUGCCAAGGAUAAAAACCCAAUUCUCUCAAAUAUGGGUUUCUAUGGUGUCAUUCAAGAAAUUUGGGACCUUGACUACCAAAAGUUUACAAUCCCAGUCUUUAGGUGUGAUUGGAUAGAUAGUUCUGGUCUUGUAGUAGACGAACUUGGAUUUACCCUUGUAGAUUUGAGUAAAAUUGGACAUAGGAAUGACCAAUUUGUUUUGGCUUCUCAAGUCAAACAAAUAUUUUUUGUUGACGACCCGAUGCAUCAUGGUUGGUCGGUAGUGUUAUCAAUGCCUAAUAGAGAAUAUAAUGAUGUUAUUGGUGAUGAAGUCUUAGGUGAUGUGAUAAUUGAGUGUGAGCCAUUUACUAGAGGGAUGCCAAAUGUUGACACAUUUGAUGAACUGGUGGGUGAGUUAGGCGGUCAAAAUAUUCGAGAUGGGUGUGAAGAUAUAUGGAUUGAAUGAUGCUUAUGUAAUUGGCAGUGUAUGACAUUAAUUUUGUAAUAUAUUGUAAUGUGAUUUCUUCACUUUCUACGUUCAAAUAAAACACGACGUUAUUGUGAACCAGUUAUUCAGCAUAUUUACCGACGUCUUAAAGCAACGUAACAAUGAAGAACCAUGACGCUAUUGUGAAGCAAUUAUUCAGGAUAUCACGUCGGGGAAGGAUUAAGAACCGCCAUGUAAUUCAAAAUAACACUACUCCAAUCCCAUAAUACCGACGUCUAAAAAACGAGAUAUAUAAUCUGAACGUUAAAAAAUACGACGUCAUCAUACAUUUUCCACGUCGCAAGUUCUUUUAUAAACGAAGAGGAACGAAAUGAAUUCCGACGGUAAUUCAUUAUAACCGCCGUCUAAUAUCAAUUAAACGACGUUAUUUGUAAUACGGCUCUCAUCAUAAUCAACGCCGUCUAUAUGUUCUGUAAUACGGCUCUCAUUUAUUUGGAACCGACGUUGUUUAGAAGUUCAACGUCGUCUAUAUUAAUAAGUGCGUCGUGAGUAAUGAAUACAUAUAAAUACAACGUCGACAAUAUAAAUGCCACCGACAUUGUUUCGCAUUCAACGUCAACUAUAUAAAUACAUACGUCGUAAAUAAUGACACUGACAACUAUUUCCACGUCAUCUUUUUUAGAAAAAUCGAAGUGGAAAAUUUAUUUCACGACGGUUGUUUGUAAAUAAGAGACGUAGUAUAUUUCAAUAACGUCGUCUUCUCAUGUAUUUAAAGACGUCAUAUUUUUUCUUGUCGUGAAAAUUAUAUUUAACGGCGUAAUGUUUUAGUUAUCGUCGUUGUAUGUCUAUCUUGCGGCCUUGUUCUUUUAAUAUGUGUCAUAUUUUUCCUUUUUAACGACGGUGAUUUGUUUGAGUUGGUCGUCUAUUCUCAUCGUCGACUAUUUUUUAGAACUUUAGCAGACUAAACACGUCUGUUUUUAUUUGUUUUCGACGUUGGUUUAUUUAACAACGUCUAAUAUUUAUCGUCGUUGUUUGUUUCUGAAAAUAGGACGUAUAAAUUUUGUAAUACGACUCUCAUAUAUUUGUAACCGACGUUGUUUCCUUGUUCAACGUCUACUCUAUAAAUACAUACGUCGUAAAUAAUGACACUGACAACUAUUUCCACGUCAUCUUUUAUAGAAAAAUCGAAGUGAAAAAUUUAUUUUACGACGGCUGUUUUUAUAUAGGCGACGUAGUAGGUAUCAAUAACGUCGUCUUCUAAUGUAUUUAAAGACGUCAUAUUUUUUAUUGUCGUGAAAAUGAUAUUUAACGGCGUCUUUUUUUAAUUUUCGUCGUUGUCUGUCUAUAUUGCGGCCUUGUUCUGUUAAUAUGUGUCAUAUUUUUCCUUUUUAACGACGGUUUUUUUAGAGACUUGGUCGUCUAUUCUCAUCCUCGACUGCUUUUUUAGAUCUUUUUGCAGUACAAAGACGUCGUUUUGUAUUUGUUGAUGACGUUGUAUAUUGUAACAACGACGGUGAUUUAGCGUCGUGGUUUAUGAGGGAAAAGAUGACGGUGGAUUCCACGACCAUUGAAAAACCGAAUACACGACGGUGAUUUACCGUCGUCUUUUUGCUUUUUUGUAGUAGUGUAGGAGAGAAAUGUGAUUCUCUUCUAACAGAAUUACAGCUGUCAUCCUAUUAGAUUCUUACACCUGUCAUAGCAAAUCUAAGCUAGAGAAUCCACCUGGACUAUGAUCUAAUGGCUCUCCUUACAUCAUUUAAAUAAGCUGACCAAAAACAGAACAAAUAGAGAAUAGCUUCAGCUCUAAGAAAUCUGCUGCAGGAUUAUAUUUCAACACUAGCUUGUACCAAAUCACUUGGGUUUGUUUUCGUGCUCAUGCAACCCUUCCGCAAGAGAUUUCUCAUGAAAAUGAUCACACUCUAUCCUUGUGUAGAAAUAGGAUACCCUACCUAGCUAGCUCCUCUGGUUAACAGACAACAAAAGGGACCACCAUGUUCUUGAAAAAUGAAUUCAUUGCUCCUCUGGUUAAUUAACAGUACUGCAUAUGGUAUGCCCUACAACAAAAACUUGUUAACUUGUGUGAUAAACUAGUAGUCUAUUUCUUUUUCAUCUUUUUAUAAAUGCUGCUUCAAAAGACAAGAAUUUGUGGUGCUAUGAGAAUAUACAUGGACCCUCGGAUGCUCUAUGAUUUGGUUGGUUGGGAGCACCAAACCACCCUUGCAUGUGGCUUUGUCCUUUCAUCUAUGAUCUUCAGGCCCAACAAGCAAGGGAAGUCUUUCAUUUGUUUGAAGAAUUGAUACUUAUUGAGAAUGCAGUAGGUAAUGAGUACAUAUCUAAAAAGCAUAUGAUAUCAAGAGAGUGCUAAUCUGUAGCAAUUGUAAAAUGUAGGAUACAUACUUUUUACUUAAAGUUAAACAUAUGAAAAGAUGUUUUACUAAUCGAAUUAUUUGAUAUAGCAAAUGUAAAUUGAAAAAGAUGAAAACCAACAUUAAGUUCUCUUUGUAGGCGCUAGUAGAGUAAAACAUGCCAAUUCGUUGUAAGUGCAAGCCACAUCGCUUAUGCUUAUACUCAACAUGAAAUGAAUUGUUGACAUUACAAUUCGUGAAAUCUAUCUGUUGACUCUAGCGACGUCAGUAAUUUCAUCUAAAUUGUAGAAAUUUGUUAUAAAAACAAAGAAGAUUAUUGAACAACCUGAUUACCUAAAACCAAAUUAGAUUUUAGAAAAAUAUAGUAGAUACAUAAAACUUUAUUACCUAACAAAGAAAGAUGUCAAAUCUUUCAAAAACAUUUUCUUACAACCAAGGGAAAAAAUCCAAGAUUGAAUUGAUGAAAAUGACUUCGUUUGGACCACUCAAACCUUCUUUGCUAAUUACUCAGUUAGCUAGUUUGUUAAAGUAGAGAAGUUACCUAGUAUAUCUCCAACAAAAAUAGUCAUAUUGUAAAGCCUGUUAUGUAACUAAGGGAAUUGUGGAGAGAAUAUAGAGAAAACAAGUAGCAAUAGAAAGGCUCUUCAUCUGCUUGUAUUAAAGUUUACUUUGUAUCCAUUACAAUUGAGAAGGUAGCCUUGUUUAUAGGCCAAGCCUUGGCUAACAACCAGAGAAAGAAGGCUCAUGGAAGGUGUAAGCAAAUAACGUUCCAACUUGUGGGCUCCACUUGCAGACUUUUACAACACUCUCUCUUGGAUACCACAAUGUAUGGAAUCUGUCUCGUUAAAAACCUUGCCAAUAAAAUUUAGUGGGACAAAAAAUGGUCCAAAGGGAAAAAGAGCGCAUAAUCAUGUGUAACAUAAAAUUAUGUAUAUAUAACACUGACACGCGUGCGACACUGCCUCGUUAAAACCUUGCCAGGUAAAACUCAGUGGGACAAAAAAGAAAAAACUAGAUGAAGGAAAAAGAGUACAAUGUGUGAAAAUCUUAUUGAUGGCACGCUCCCCCUGAUGCUGACAAAAUAUCUUUAAGUCAUGAUGUUGACAAUCUUUCUGAAUGUCGUAGUUGAACACUGCUUCCAUGAAUCAAUCUUGUAAUACUGGUGGAUGCUACCCCUAAAGAAUUACUCCCCUUGAUGUCUUCUUUGAUGAUCCAACACAAAUGAUAUUGAUAUCACAUUUGUACUUCACAAACUGAUCUUUGGUAAUGCUUGUAGAAAACUUGUUGUUGUAACAUCUCUGGAGGAUCCCUGUGUGUCGUCAUUCAUCUAAUUCUUAUUGAGGUUAGAGUAAUACAGAAAAAUAUCUAGGCUAUUUUCAUAAGACUUUCACUGUACACAAUGGUUUGAAUUUCAUAUGUUUUCCAAUAUAAAAAACAAUAAGCUCAUAUUUAUAAUGAUAAGAGCAUUAAAUAUUUAUAUGGUGUUGUUUACCCUUUUUGUAUUUGAGUAUGUUGAAGCCUAAAUAAAAUUCCCCAUUAAUUUUUUAAACACUUAAUGGUUUCUUGAGUAACUUUCUUGCCACUAUUAGCAGAUAAUACCCUAACAGAUUUGAACAACUUUAUAUACUUGCACCCCAAGUAAUAGACUUUAAACAAACAAUUGUGAUUUUGGAUGGGGAAACCUCCCAAGAGAGUUCUUUUCUAUGCCUCAGACUUGUGACGACUUCACAAUUUAUUAAGACAAAAAUGGUAAGCAAAGCAAAAUACACAAAUUUAUGAAGGGUAUAACAGACUAAUCCAAGCAAAACUACUUGAAGCACAAAGUAACAAAUGAAUCUUUAAAUCUACGUACUUCUCAAAGGGGUUGGACUUUGACUUAUGUUUGAAAACAUAGUCGCAAUGAUGACUUGUGAUUAGACUGGACUGAACUUUUGUUGACUAGAUUGAAUGUUUCUGCACUGGAAUUUCAUGUCAGCACCUUCAACUAAUAGAGAUUAGCUAGAAAUCGAUACCAAGUUUGAAGUUUGGCAGAGCUAUAAACAAGUUAAACCUUGAAUAGGCUAUGGAAGUGAUCAAAACUGCAAACGAGUACCUAUUCUUGUUGAUUCUGAGUGAUUUUAAAGCUAUCUAGACAAUUUUAAGACAUUAAGAUGUAUUUGAAAAGCUUGUUGAGGAUUUUGUAUGAUGAAAUACCUGACUUCUUCUUGUUUUAUCUAAUUUGAUGAACCAAAUUUGUCAGAGGAAUUAAUCUCGUUUGAAUUCUGUUUGAUUUACCUUAUCUGGAUUACAAGGGCAAUCUUGGUUUCUUCUUGGUUUUCUGAACUUCUUUUUGAGCUGGAUUGCUUGUUAAGGAAGAUUGCUUGCUUGCUUUUGGUAGUUGUAAGAUCAUAUGAUCUUUGAUUUCUUUUUAUCAAUCUGGAGUUAUUGUUGAGUUUUUCCUUAAUUUGUUGGUUAUUUGUCCCUUCUCCUGUCCAGACACUUUUGUAUUUAUAGGAGAAAAAUGAUGUUGAAGAAAUCUGGAAUUUUUAGUUUUGGACUAUCCUCCAUUUAAUGCACAAGUGGCAAAAGUUUUGUUAGUUAAUGCAUUGAUCGUUUUUGGCACCUGCUCAUUAAUGUUCUUGAAUGUCUCCUGAUCGUUCCUUUUGGAACAACUAAGCUGAAGUGAGCAAUAAUGCCCAAAUUCCUCCAACGUUGGUGUAACACCCGGAUCCAAUUUUAACUUCUCAUUCAAAUUAUUUAAUUUAUUUAAUUGUGAAAUUACAAUUUUACCCUUAGGGCAGGGUUAUUUUGGUCAGUUUUUAAUCCGAUAGGAUUUUGGGGAAUUGAAUGGCACCAUUACUUAGAGUGCAUCGAUACGAGUUCAUAGACAUUCAGUGGGAUCAAAUAAGAGUUUUAACAAAGAAGUUACGAUCAACGGAAGUGCAAUGGCACCACCGUAAAUAUUUCAAAAUUUGAAAUUGAAACACUAGAUUCUCUCUCUCAAUCUCUCCCUCAUGAAUCUCUCUCUCCUCUGUUGGGAGCACCACAACCCCGUCGUCUUCUAACGAUGAUUCCGGGGUCAUCCUUCCUCUCCUGCUACGAAACUGGUUACAAUUUUUUUUCAUCUCUCUCUCCUCUUUACAUCCAUACCAAUUUCCAACCUCAAUUCCAAGGGAUUAAGCCAAAAAUUCGAACGAAAACCCAACUCAAACUGGCCUGUCAAAAACCAUGACUUCCGGCGUUUGUUCUGGCCAACUUCACCGAUCACCAAGUGGGUUCCAAAACACUCCCGUGCCUCCCCUCUGUAAUUUUCCUCGAAGACCCGACUUGAUUUCAAUCCGAAACCAUCGAAUUGAAACCUAGAAGGUGUUUCAACGAGAAAACCAACUGUUCGAGGGCUUUAGCGGCUGAAUUGAUCUUCGAGCAAAGGUAUAAAGUUACUCCCCUUGAUGUGUUUGAUCUUUUGAUAUGAUUAUUGGCCAGCGGUUUGGAGUUUUUCGAUCGCCAGAAAUUUUUUCAAGACACCCGUAGGCAGUGGUGGCUCGUCAGUGGGGUAUCAAGGUUGGGUUUUGAAGCUAGAAUGUUCCCCAUGUCGUCCCAAGCACGAUAGUAUGCUGAAAUUUGAAUUUGGUUGUUGUUUGACGGUCGAUCAAAUUUACAUAUAUUAGGCGUCUUCCGUGUUCGAUAUGUUCAGACCGUUGGAUCGACUCCAUUUCCAACUAUGCUGGUCUAGAUACCUCUCAGAUCAUGUAGGAACUACGAAUUGAGAAUCGGAGUCCCGGAUACUCCAAUUUAAUGGCUCAAAGUUUGGGUAAAACGGUGACCGCCCGAUCGUAUGAUUGUGAGCGAUCCGACCGCUCGAUCUGGACCAAACUUGUAGGACGUGUUUAGUAAGCUUUGUUGAACCCGUAGGGAACUUUUGGAUAGGAAAUUGGAGGUCAUGGGCCCAACAGGCCCAGCUGACCAAAUUUGGGAAGUUUGACCACUUGGUUGACCGAGCGUCUUUCGAGGUUAUUUCACAUUUCGGAACAUGUAGUUGGACCUUAGAAACUUCCUGUUUGUUGUAUACACACCUUGAAUUCCGGGAAAAAUUAGGAAUUUAUUUUAAAGUUUCCAUCCGAAUUAUUUUAAUUAAUCUAGUCCUCGUAUUUUUCAAUAGGCACUUCGGCUCAGCGUACUCAAUAGGGUUAAGCAGCUCUAGAUUAUCUGUGAGUGGACUUUGUUUUUAAAUAAUAAUCAUUAUUUUCAAAGAGAAAAAGCUAUGCAUAAUGAGUUAUUCGAUUAUUGAGUUUAACAUAUUAUUUAUUUAAAUGUUUGAAUUUGCAUAUUGUGAUUAUCUUGAAUUAAUAUAUGCUAUGUUUGAGAGUUACUAUCUGACAGGACCCGAUCCAAAUUCCGCUUUGGAAUUCGAGCCGGACCCUGUGCGUGUCCGACACCUGGCAAAUGUCGGGCACAAAUGACCUAUUUGCCCUUCUAUACAAAACAUGAUAAAAUAACAAGGUUGACGUCUACCGAAAAACCGGCAGAGUUUUCCUUGUAACUGGCUCAAUACCAACAUAUUUACACCUGCCAAACAAGUAUAUAUAUAUACAUCCAACUGCCAGCAUACAUUUAUAUACAGUCCAACCGUUCAAUUCUCAAUCUAGGGCAAAACAUCAGAGCAACUUCUAAGAAUUUACAAAGAAGUGAAUCUUUUUACAAAACAAAAAUCCUACAUCAAAGAAAAGGCGCGGAAGAUAGAAAACGGCCCGGUGGUGGAUCACUGUGCACGUCUUCUGCCUGGGGGAGCAAAACAUGGAAAAGGGUGAGUGGACCUAAAAAAAAAGUUUAGAAAAUAUGAACAUACUAACUCCACUGUAAAAACAGUUGUACAAACUAAAUUAUUCUCUUUAUUUCUGCAAUCAAUGCACGUAUAUAAUUAUACAUGUAAAUAAUCAUAUUCAUGGUCAACAUUACUUUUAAAAACAGUUUAAAACUACCACCUAGGUGUACCCUUUAUUUCCGUCAAUUCCUUAUAUCCGUCAAUUCCUUGCAUCACCAUAGGUGACACAUACUCGCAGGUCUCAGUGACACGAGGUCAGUCCGAGCCGCAACUCGCAGGAUUCAGGGGACCGUGGUCCACCUUUAUCCGCAUACUCGCUCCACACGAGUUCGAUUACCAAGGAACUUGUGGGGCAACUGUCAAGCAUGCUGACUAAACCGAAGGCAACCAAUAUAAUCCGAAGGCAACAUUUAAUAUCUGGGUACAAGGUGGUUUAACAAAAUAUAAAGUUUCGGAAGCAAAGCUGUUAAAUAAUUAACUUUCUGUAACCUUUCAAAUUCUGCUGCCAUUUAUCUGACAAGUAACUAGAAUUUCUUUUCUUAUAUCCGUUAAAAGGUAUUUCACUCGGCAGCAUGUAAAAUAAAACAGCUUAUAACUGAAACUGAACGGCUUAAAUUCAUUUAUUAAAAUAUAGAGUCCACUCACCGGUAGUCCGAGCUCGCUGGACCUCUUGAAGGUCCCUUCUAUGGGUCAACUGGUGCCCGGGUGCCUGAUUCAAUGACCAUAAUAUACUAUUAAUACAAUAUAGUGUUAAUAUAAAAACUCUUACCCCCAGCUCCUAAAAGUACAUGCGUACAAUUAAAGUUAUCUCUAUACCCAUAAAAGCUUUCCUUCCAGUUUAGCAGUAUCUUGGGACUCAAAAAGCGUUAAAGUCCCAAAAAAUCAACCCGAGACCCCACGGGUCCAUGACCUCACAAUAUAAUCCGGAAGCCGCAAGAAGGUCCAAUAUAUCUAGGACACAUGUCCAGAGGGUAUUGGUCUCGAUCGGACGGUCAGAUUGAUCACGAUCGUGCAAUCGCAUAUUUUCCAAACCCUAGCUCUAGGGUUCGCGAUUUUGGAGUCCCUAGGACUCCGAUUCACAAUCCGUCGAAUCCUACACGAUUCUGAAAUUGUCUAGAGUAACAUAUCUGAAACUGGUUACGAUCCAACGGCUCAACCAUAUUGAACCCGGAAAUCGCACAAUAUGGAAAAUCCGUUCGAGGCUCAAACGGUAUCCAAAUUGAGAUCCGUGAAUUCCUACGCGCUCGUGACAACCUAAGGAUCGCAUCAAGACACAGUACCACUGCACUACCCUCGCCCACACGCCGCCGCACGCGCCGGCAGCGCUGGGUGUCCAAAGCGAUUAUGCAUCGCCGGAAAAUCUCGAAACCACGGCUCCAAACUCCUACCCUAGGUAUAACACCAUAUUUGGAACCACUUUUGUUCUUGGACCUACCCCAAAAACUGACCGAAAGUGGCCGAACAGGGAGGCCGAAAAUCAGCCAAAUUCCAAUUUGAAAACUGAGCUAUCUACGGUCAAAAUCGAUGCAAACCUACCCAACCAUCAGCUAGAGCAUGGAAAAUAGGUAGAAAUCCAUACCUUACUCGACAAAUUUGGAGAAGAAUUGAGGGAGAACGAGCGGUUGCAAAACUGUGAAAAACCAGCUCGAGUUUUACAGUUUCCGGCGGCUGGCAGCGGGCUGGGCGGGGCUUGAAGACGGAACCGAGCUGGUCCUUUUGGCACCGACGGCAAGGGCAGGGGUGGUCGGUGGCGAGAGUUCUGGCGAUUGGAAAGUGACGGGAAGGAGGACAGCGGGAGAGGGAGAGAGAGAGAGAGAGAGAGAGAGAGAGAGAGGAAAACUGAGGGAGAAGAGAGAGAGUGAGGGUUUUAAAAAUCUGAUUUUUCCUAAUUACCAUUUUGCCCCUCGUGAUAUUUUAACCGUAUUUUCUUCGUUAAAACUCCGAUUCGAGUCCACUUCAUGUCUGCGAACUCAUUUCGUCGUGCUCUACACAACGGUGUAUGUGGAAUUGUCAAAUUCCUUUUCGGUCAAAAAGUCAACUUUUCGUUAAGAAAUUAUUCCAAGGGCAAAAUUGUCUUUCCUCAUAAUAAAUUACUAAUUAAAUAUGAAUUUUAGGUUUGGGUUAUUACACUAUACUUGGAUGCGUGUUGGGUACAUGGGAUUGGUAGAAAGAGAUUAUGGAAUGGGAUUUGAGUUGUGGUUUAUAUUAAUUUUGAAGUGCUUUAGGCACUACCCUAUGUACCUUCCUGGUUUUGGAAUACAUGGAUUGGAUACUUGGAAACUUUUGGGAUACUUUGAUAUGUCGGAACCCGACCACCCUUGACAGGGUGUUUCGUAGACCCUUAGCAGGAUUAGUCUGCAAGCGUAGGACUUGUCACAGGCGUACAAGUAUUGAAGAUUCUGUUGUACAUGUUGGUGAGCCAGUCCCCCGGUUGGACAACUCAUUCCCUAGCCACAUGGUCAAUUGAGGAUUCUUCUAUAUGGUCUAGCCAAACAAUCCCCCGGUUAGAUUAUUUCCUCAGUACAAGUUUGGUAGUGGUCAUACUUAUGUAUAUAUAAAAAAUUUAUAUAUAUACACACAUAUACUUUCGUUCUUGUUUAUCAAUGAGGAUUCUUUCUUGCUUGUGGUGCCAACGGGCACGCGUUUUGGGUGAGAGUAGUUUGGGGAAAAUGGGUAAGGUUUUGAGUGGGAUGGGUAUUACUAUACCAUUAUGAGAUAUGGAUUUCACUUUGGUUUUGAUUUAGCUAUAUAUAUAUAUAUCGGUUUUGAAUGCAUAUCCCUUUUAGAAUCGUUUUCCAAAUGGUGGGGUUAGUAUGUUGUUUUUAACUAUGUAAAAACUUUAUUUUUGUCCACUCACAAAUUUUCUGUUUUGCUCCCACAAGGCAGUAGUUGAGCUGAGUCGAGCGACUAAGCCGAGUCUUGUACUUCCGAGCCCCAAGUUUCUGUAGGACAAUGUUUACUUGUUUUUAAUUCUAUUGAACUCGUUUCAUUGUAAACUGAAUUUCUUUUGAUAUGCUUGGUUAUCGCCCAUGCUAGGGUUGGAUGUAAGGUCAGAGGCCUAUUAUGUAAAUUGCAUGAUUUUUCAUUGUGCAUGCUGUUGUUGGGAUUUUAUUACUUUGUUUUUUACAAGUUAAAAAUUUGGGAAAGUUUGUUUUUCAAGAGAGACUCUACCGAAAUUUUAACAAAAUGUCUAAUUCCUCUUUUCGUUAAUUUGGAAAAGAAGCUAUAAUGUUAGUAAGUGGACCCGGCAUCAGUUUCAUGUCCGAAAUACCACAGGAUUCGCCACGGAUUUCAAGGAAAUUCAGGGCGGGUCUUGUCAAUUGGUUCCAUAAAUACAAAUAUCCUGGUAGUAGAAAAUAAAUCCGGCGAUCUUACAAUAAAUAGUCGUGAUUUUUGUUUGUGCAAAUAAUCUCACGGGAGAAUAUUCUCUUCUAGAUUCUUCAACCUUCGAUCUUCCUUCUCCCUCUUCCUCGAUUCCUGUAAAAAAGACUAGAGUAAAUAGACCACACCCGGGGGGUGUUGGCCAAAGGCCCUCCGAUGCCUAAGUUCGUUCGAGUGUUUGUAGGAAAACAAUAGCUAAGCAAAGGGUACGGAGUUGUAUGUAGGGUGUAAACCGGGUGGCCGGAGCCAUGUGUGGUGGCCGGAGCUGUGUAGAGAAAAUAUGGAGAGUGGAGAGGGAGAGAGAGCUUCGGGUAUUUUUCUCGGGUAUAAGGAGUAGGUUUAGAUGUACCUUGAAUGAUGAAUGAGGUCGUCUAUUUAUAGGAGCCUUGGGGCUAAGGUUUCGUAGGGAUCGAGUCGGACCUGAUAAUAUCCGAAUUAAAUAUAUUAUCGCUUAAGAAGAUAAUAUCUAAAUUAAAUGAUAUUAUCUUCUCUUUAUUAGGAUAAUAUCUUAAUUAAUGAUAUUAUCUCUUUAAAUAAAGAUAAUAUCAUAUUAAUUAAGAUAUUUAUCCCAAUUAAUUAAUUAGCUAGAUAAACUGGUUUAAUUAAUUAAUUUAAGAGAUAAUCUUCUUUUCCACGUGGCGUGCCUUGAUUGGAGAUGAAAAUAUAUGCUCCCACAAUUUCCAACUAAAGUAAGUCUGACUUCACUUUCCAGCUUUCAUGGUCAUUAAAGUUAUUUGGAGCCGAGUUACCAACAGUGAGGAGUCAUUCUGACAUACCUUAACAUCUAAGAAAUUAUAAACUUUGGGCUAAACUAAUUCAAAUAAUUUUGACCCUUGGAUUAAAUCACCGUUGAUUAUCAAAAUAAUGUGAAUUUAUUUUAAUUUGAUCCCCCUUUGUUUGAAUAGUAUGGGCCAUUCACCACUUUUGGUAAAUAAAGCCCAAUACCUUUUUGAAAAGUGAACCCAAUGCUUAUUUCGGGAUGGUGCACAUAUUUCAGGCCCAAACAGUACCCCUAAGUCUGAAUAUCGUCUCUAAAAAACGAUUUCAUACUUAAUGAUUGGCCUGCCUUCUAUUGAUGUGCGCCCUUUUGAUCUAUUUGCUCCUGCCCACGUCUGUUCAUUGAUUGGACAUUUUGGAAAAGUGGGUAUUAACGAUUAGUUAAUUGGGAGACUUUGGAAAAGCCCAAAGGAGAGAGAAAAUUUUUAAAAGAAGCAAAAAUGGACAAAAUUGCCCUUAUUUAUUUUUUGAUUUCCUAAGAAAUCCUUUACAUUUGCAUGUCUGUGGUUUGAAAGUUGAGAGGUUAUUCCGUCUUUUUUGAAAAAGCUUUGGCUUUUUCCAAAAGUGAAAGUUUUUUUAUGGGUAAAACCUAAAUUUACUUAGUUAAUUCUUGGCAACUCUUCUUCUCCCACUAUCUGUCUUCUUUAGAGUAUAAAGCUGCAACCUACUUUACUCUUUUAAAACCAUCAUUAACCCCGAGUUCUUCAAUUUGUAGAGUAUUUCCAAUCUUUGAAAUUUCAAAUUUCAAUGAAAAAUUCAAGCAUUUCCCUAAUUCUGCCUGAAUAUUCUCGAUGGCUUCUCCCAAAACCCGUGCUAGUAGUUCUUCCUCCUUCCCUCCACCUUAUAUUUCAGGCGAAGGUGUUGAUACACAUGCCAUUGAGAUUCGAAGCAAACUCCGUUCAUAUUCCAAGAAGAAUUUGAAUGAAAAUAUCCUACAUUUGCACGGGAAUGCUAUCAUUAUGGGUUCUGCCUAGUUUGGGAAAGUUUUUGAGGAAAUGGCCAAACUUUUUAAGGCAGAUGCUGAAGCUCUGUUUUGCUAUUGUAAUCCUUCUCUAAUAUUCCAUUCCUCGGUUAGCAAGAAUCUAAGCAGAUCAUACCAUUCUAAUGAAGUGAGGAAUAGCUCUAUGAAGUGGUCAUAAUAGUUUGGCCGACUCUCUCCAAGGUAUGAAGGCCAUUGGAAGAAAGCUAGCAUAUAUGAUGCUUUGCUUCUGUCUAAGCAUUCAAUUAAUAGAUAUGAGAAUCUCUUUGCUGCUUCUUUAUGUUUUUGGAAUUCUGCUACAAACACUUUUGACUUUCGUGUUAGCCCUAUGCCUCCAACUCUGCUCGAUAUGGCUCAAAUAUUUGGAUUUAGGCCACAUGAAAGGCCUGCUGAUGCAUUUGGAGAUUAUCACAGAAGGAAAAAUGGUGAAAGAGUAGCUAAAACGAAGCCUUGCCAUUCUUGCCAACGGAAUACCACUUUCCAACAAUUAUUGAGGCCAAUGGCCUUUAAUCUCCUGUUAAUUUAAUCGGAGUCUCCUCCAUGCUUCUCUGAUUUCUCUUUUUCAAAAUGUCGAUCAUUAUCCAAUAGAGCUAUCUGUUUGCCCCUGAAAGUGGAUUUUUCAAGCAAAAAUUGUGCCAUUGCCUAAACGUGUGGCAACUCAAUCCUGUUAAAAACACUGGAUUUUGGUAUGUCCUGUAAUUGUGCUUGCAUAAUCCUGCUGAUGAUACUUGAUUCUUGCCCCUACUAUACUGGAUGGAUUUAUUUAGAUGGAUUGGAUAGCCUUGUUAAGGCACUAUCCUUCUUCUAUGGUUUAAUAUCUGCAUUUUUAUGGUUAUCUCUGGCUCAUUCACACCUUAUAUUUACAAUAAACAACAAUUCCAGACAUAACAGUUGCCUUUGAUCUAAUCAAAGUUUCCUUGAUAACCCUCCUAUUUUGACAGGGACCUAUCUCCACAGUUGCCUUUGACUGAGAGCGUUUUUGCAUAUCCAUGAGUUAAAAACGAAGAGCAAAUUUACUGGCCAUACUGGAUUGUGAGAAGUGGCUUUGGAGACACUCUUAGAGAGGUGCAGCCGACAGUGAGAGAGAGAAUGGACUCAAAGAGUAUACUGGUGAUGUAGCUGACAAUGAGUUGGUCUUGUUGGUACCACUGAGCACGGGCAGGAUUGGUUUGGGUAAGAGAGAUGGUGGUGAUUGUGGGUGUUACGGUGGUAGAAGUGGAGGUUUGAGCAGAAGGUUGUUUAUGAGUGCCUUCGAUAAAUUUUCAGAGGUCAUGACCGACUCAAAAGAGUUUGAGUUGGCAGAGCCAAAGGAGGUAGUUGGAGUCAGUAAGCUUGAUAAAAUAAGAACAGUUGGGGUUAGGGAAGGAGAUGGUGGAUUCAGACGAAGCCAUGAGGUGGACCUAAAGGAAACGAUUGGAUCGAAUAAGGGAGAGGGAGGAAACCCUAGGUAAGGCUGAUAUCAUGUAGAGAAUAUAUUUUCUUGUAUUAAACAGAAUACACAAAGUCCCUAUUUAUACUGAUACAGGAAAUCAACUUAGGAUAGGAAAUAAUAUAGACAUGAAUACAAUCCCAUUUACAGCAGGAAAAGCUAAUUGCUAGGAGGAGAUUGUGAAGUUGACUUCCGUGUGUACUAGGAAAGGAAAGCUGCGUUAACAUCUUUCUUUGGCCAAUUUAGAUUUACCAUAUUGACUUGAGUUUUGGGAAAAGGGAUUGUAUCAAUAGUGGGGACCUUCUUUGCUAUUUUCAACUUUCUUGAGGCUAAUGCUUCUUAGACAACAUCCCUUAAAACAACACAGCUAUUGGUAGUGUGAUUCAAAGAAUAUUAUGCCACUUGCAAUACUGUCUUCCCUUCAAUUCUUCUGACUUUGGCAACCUGUGUCUAGGUGGUGUAUCUAUAGCCUUCUGAGAUAACAUUUCAUCAAACAAACCGUCUAACUUUGAUAAAUCAAAAGAAUAAACCUUGUUUGUUGGCUGUUUAUUUGGAAUGAAACCUCCAGUGAAGGGUGGUGGUUUUUGAUCCUUUGGUGCCUUUAGCAAAACUUUACAACUUAUUGUCCCUUUAUUUUAGCCAUUUUUGCCACCACUGCCAUAGUUUCCUCUGGUUCUAGCUCCUUUUCUUAUUCUACCUGCACCAAAUGUAUUGAAGAUGAAGGGGUCUUGUAGUAUGUACAUUUAGAAGCAUUCCUCUUCUGUUGUUAUUCCUUCAAUAAUUCUUCAUAUUUGGUGACCUUAUCCGCCAGUUCUGCUAAGUCUCCAAAUAUUAUUCCAUUGAACCUUUUUCUCAAGGAGAUCCUCAAUGAUGUCUGUCCCAUCUGGAUAAAGUGCCUCUCAUAUAUAGGAAUUCUAAACUUCAUUUUCAGCUUUCUGAACCUAGUAAUAAAGUCAUGAGCUGCCUCAUUCUCACUCAGCUUCAGUACAGUCCUCAGGCUAGAUUCUGUACUAGUAAUCAUGGAAAGCAGUGCUUAGCCUUUUUGCAUAAUACAGUGGAUUAGGAUAAGAAAAAUAGGAUUCCUAUGGAAGAACUUCUUUUGGGGGGGGGGGGGGGGGGGGGGGGGGUUUUCCCUUUGGGUUUCCAAAAAAUUAAAAAAAAUUUUUUUAAGGGCCCCCCUUCUUAGAAAUUUUUGGGAAUUUUUUACUCCGUUAAAAAUUGAGAAACCUUCCAGCAACCUUCUUUUUUUUUUUUNNNNNNNNNNNNNNNNNNNNNNNNNNNNNNNNNNNNNNNNNNNNNNNNNNNNNNNNNNNNNNNNNNNNNNNNNNNNNNNNNNNNNNNNNNNNNNNNNNNNAAAGAAACUUGAAUUUUUCAAUCCAUCUGUUUUUGUUAUCCAAAGCAAAAACAAAAAGUACUUGUUUGCUCUUCCCUUUUCCAUUUACUUGUUGUGUAUUUUCAGACUCCAUUUGAGUGCAGCUAUGAAUUUUAUCAUGUCAAUCAUAAAAUACAGCAUAAAAAAUAUCAAAAAAUGUACAUCAUCAACCAUAGAUUAAACAUGACACAUCUUAUGUUGAAUGGAAAAGGACGCAGUAGGAAUUUACAGAUUUGGCAUCCGAACUCUGAUUGGCGUGUAUGAUACCUUUCUGAAAAGGAAACAAUGCUACGAGUCAAACACACUGCUUUGCUAUGACGUAUGGUGGAUUUUGGGCUUUUGAGGUCGUUUAGGCUUCCAAAACAGCAUUUAAAAGUUGAAAUUUUUGGAUUUUCGUUUUUUUAAUGUUCAUUUAUAUUUGUCUCAGUAUUUUUGUUCGAUUAUAGAAAGGUUGUCAAUUAUUUCAAUUUUCUAUCUAGUCGUAUAUAGAUAUUUCAAAAGAAAAAGUAGUAACAAGCAUAAACCCUAGUAAACAAGCAUAAACCCUAGUAACAAGUAUAAGCCUAAUAACAAGAAAAACACGAUGAAGAAAAAAUCAUGGAAAAAGAAAACCCAACAAGGUAUGGAUCAAAGAAAAAAUAGGGAGCAUACCUUCACAGAUGAAGGAAUGAAGAUGUUCAUCUUCGCAGAUAGAAAAGCUAGGGCAAGAGAAAAACGUAUGAUGAAAUACUUGGGAGGGAGGUUGGAUUAUUUUGGUCUUUGUUAUUUAUAACUCUCCCCUUAAAACCUUCCAAAUAUAUCACCUUUCGAAUACACCUAGAUUUGAUUCAACUUUUUUAUAAUCCUAAUUGAAUACACCCAUAUUUGAAUAGACAUUUUAAAAGUUCAUAUAAGUCCGAAUUGAAUACACCCAGACUUGUAAAACCUCUUUUAAAAUUUUGUAUAAAUCCAAAUUGAAUACACUCGGAUUUUUAAAAUCUUUUUAAACGCUUUAUAAUCCUAAUUGAAAACACUCUAUUGGGAUUGUCAUUGCAGCUGCCAUUGGAUUCUAUCAAGCCUAAAUACAUGAUUAAAUAAACUUACAAAAUUUAGAGAAUCUUUCUAUCUUUGCGUGUCUAUUGAGACCGGUUAAGUGUGAACUACUAGGGACUGAAACAUAUUUGUACUUUUUAUCCUCUAAUUGAUCUUUUCCAUGUUUAAUGUUCUCACUUAGAAUUGAAUUUAGAUGGAUAACCUUUAUUUGGAUAAUAUCCAACCCAUACAAGUGAGACAUUUAGUAUAAAAGUUCCAAUAUUUGAAAUUUCCAAGCAAUCUUGUCCAAUUACUUCUGAUAUAAGCCGUCUUUAACAUUAUAUUGGGCAGAAAAUCAGAAUAUUUGGCCAUCUUCAACUUUGUGAGAUGUUCAAAUUUGGUCUACUUCCAGAUUCUAUUUUUGUAUGAAGCAACAAGCUACAAUUAGAUAAUAACUUACUGAAAAAUGAGACAAUAAAGUGGAUGAGGAAUCAAAAUAUAUCAUUACAUUUUCUCAUGUUUCCUGCAGAAUAAAACAUUUAGAAUUGUACAUGGCUUAAAAGACAAAUCUUCUUGUCAUCCAGUUCAAAAUUGGAGUUAUGAUUUUGGGCUCAAUAGUCUUCGAAUCGAGAGUUCAUGAUAUCGUCAUUCGACUGCUUCACAAAUUUUGUAUCUUCGUGCUCAGCUCACAAGCACUUUGACCAUCAAAGAAGGCUUCCCAGAUUCAUAAGCAACAGAAAAAUGUGCAUAUGAUCAAUCACAGCCUCUACUUCAUCUUGACACGGCGAGUUCUUCUGAUCGAACUGAGGCUGAUUUGGAUAUGAACCAGAUUCACUUCAUUUGCGUUCAUUCAUACACUUAAGCUGCAAGUGAGAUGAAUGAAGGUUUCAUCACUGCAGGGGAUUGUGAUACCACCCAUUGGAUGAUCAUAUCCAAAUUCUUCUUCUGCUUGACUUAGCAAAUCCAAGAACAAAGGCUCAUUCAAGUAUGAUAUUGGAACCACAAAUCGCUUCUUCUGGCUCCCCCCAACAUACACUGCAAAGUAGCCUUUUGGGAUGUCUACGGUGUUUGAAGUAGCAGCCUUGUUUAGACCCUUCUUGGAGUUAACAAUUCCUGGCAAUCGGAAUCCCAUGGUUUUUAUAUUCUCAAGUGGAAAAUUUGAACAAGAAAGAAUUCAGAGGACUUGGGAAACAGAGAAGACUUUGAUGCUUGGCAAGGAGAGAGACUUGAGUUGUUGGUUAUGAACCUGAUCUCUUGUGUAUAUAUAGAUGAAAGAGUAUCGCCUUCUACAUGAAAUGAGUGGUCUCGAGGCGCAGAGAUUUGCCCCAGUGAAGGAUAAUAGCUUGUGAGAAAUCAAAACAUAACAUGGGUUGUCUUCCCACUCACAUAAAUCAUCUCCACAUGCAAUGACAAAACUGUAUCCCUCUGUACAAACAUCAUUCCCCACGUCUUAUUUCAUCGAGUAAUUUGUUGUGGUCUAAAGAUUGCUAAUGUGUUCCUGUCAAGAGACUAUGGACAGAUAUGUCUUAACCCUGUUUUGUACUUCAAAGAAGUCUUUUCUAUCCACAUAUAAAGAGUUUGUAGGUGUCACAAAAAAAAUUGUUGGGCAUCAUGUUCUCCAACAAACGUACAGACGUAAUAACUACCAAGUUCUUGAGAAUGAGAUGGAAAACAGACCAUGUGAUCCCUCAAAUUCUCAUGCCUCUUUCCAAUCCCCACCCAAUUGUCCCCAUUUCAGAUAUUUUCCUCUACACACCCUUUCAUCUAUACGUAGACACACACAUACACACAGAUGAUCCCAUAAACAAUUGAAAUCCUGAGUCUUUACAAACAUGAAAUCUAAUGAGACGUGAUCCUAAAAUGAUUUAGUUUCCUGUUUUAUUUGUAUUUAUUUCAUAGAUUUGCUGUAUAUAUUCCUUAUCUCUCAAGGACUUGAUUCUUGCCUAGAAUAGGAAAUCCUUUGUGUAGACACCAAGCAAAGCAUUGUAUAUAAUUAUCACAUGAUUGUUCAAUGAAAAUCAUCGAGAAUAUUCAAAACCUUUCAUGGUAUCAAGAGCCUGAGACUCACAGUCCUCGAUCCUCAAUUUUCUUGUUCCCUGUCUUUUUUUUUUUUUUGUUGGCACCAUGGCUUCUUCCUCGUCUAUUGAUUUUCCUAGCGUUCAUCAUGUUAUCUCCAUUCGUCUCAAGUGUGAUAAUUAUCUGACGUGGCUUGCUCAAAUUGUUCCUAUCCUUCGCAUCUGCCGCUUGCUCAGCUUUGUUGACGGCACUUCUCUGUGUCCUCCGACCAUUCCUGACCCAAAUGCUAAGGCCGAUGAAUCUACUUUUCUGUCUCUCCUCCCCAACCCAGAGUAUGAUGAUUGGGUCCAGAAAUAUCAGCUUGUUUUCUCUCUCUCAUCAACGGUUCCUUUCACCAUGAAGUUCUCACCACCGUAGCUUCCAAGACCAUCGCUGUGACACUUGGGUAGCCCUUGAAACUCAUUUUGCUUCUCCGAAUCAGAAUCGUCUUCUUCAACUUCACAGUAACUUGCUUUGCACAACCUGUUGUGAAUCUUCCAUCACUGAUUUCCUUGAUCGUAUUAACUCGAUUGACGAUAACUUGGCUCUGGCAGGUGCUUUAGUUGCUGACUCUGAUCUCCUUGUGAUGGUUAUGAACAACGUUUGUCCUCUUUAUGAAAAUACCAUUGCCGCUACUCAAGCUCGUGAGAAACCCAUCAAUAUGCCUGAUCUUGAUGCUCUCCUCUUGUCUGCUGAACGUGGCCUGUAGUUAUCUUAUUCUCUGGUCAUGUAUUCUGGUGCGACAGCUAUGGAAGCUUCCCAUGGUGGUCUCGGUGGCUGUGAUUUUGGCGAUUGUGCUGGGUUUGCUGGUCAUAGUCCCGAUCUUCCCAACUCAUUCUCUCCCUCACGACUAGGUUUUACUUCUGGUCGCGGUUUCCCUGGCGCUUCCUAUGGCGCCUCUAGUCCUGCCUCACAUCAACAACAUUUUGGUAGCAAUAUCGAGCUGAGUGUUCUUGGCCCACCUCCUUCUGGCUCUACUGCUUCCUCUUUUGGGCUUCAUUCUGCCCCUAGGCCUCUUCAAUGUUUCAAUUGUCAUGGUUUUGGCCACAUCGCAGCUGUCUGUCCUUCCAAGACGUUUUCUGUGCCUUCUCCUCUGUCUCGUCUUCAAGACAUAACUGCUCAAUAUCCUUCACAUGGUGGCCAUCAACAGUGGGUUGAUGAUACCGAUGCAAACACUCAUAUUACCAAUGACCUGAGCUUCUUAUCCCUUGCUAAACAGUAUCAUGGUUCUGACAAUGUUGGAGGUGUGCUUGGUGGAACAGGUUCGCCUAUUAAAAAUAUUGGUCACUCUCGUUUCUCUCACCUUAAUUCUUCUUUUCAUCUUAAUGAUAUUGUUCAUUGUCUCGAUGCAUCUCUUCCUCUCUUACCUAUUCAUAAAUUUCCCACUAACAACCAUUGUUUCUUCACUUUUUUUCCUAAUUGUUAUUUUAUCCAGGAUUUGGGGACGAGGAGGACACUUUCUUGGGCAAGAGUAGUAAUGGCCUAUAUCCCUUUUCAUUUACACCGAAUGAGUUUUUUCAAGUUUUGCGUGAUCGUGUUGCUUUACUAGGUGUCUAUGUUGACCGCUCUGUGUGGCACUCUCGCCUUGGUCAUCCUGCUUCGUCUACUUUGCAAUUUUUGUUAUCUCAUAAUAAAUUGCCAUCUUCUGGCUCUGUCUAGUUCUUUUUGUCAGUCAUGUACGUUGGGUAAAAGUGUUAAAUUACCCUUUAGUCCUUUUUAUGUCCUUUCUUCUCCACUGAAACUUAUUCACUCUGAUGUAUGGAGUUCUUCAAAUAAAUCUAUUUCUUAUUUUAAUUAUUAUGUUUUAUAUGUUGAUGAUUUUUGUCGUUAUUCUUGAAUUUUUCCAAUGAAAUUGAAAUCAUAAGUUUUCUCUCACUUCAUUAAAUUUAAGGCUUUGGUUGAAAAUAUGUUUUUCACUACGAUUAAGGCAUUUCAAUCAGAUGGGGGUGGGGAAUACACUAGUCAUCAAUUUAAGAAUUUUUUAUCUCAUCAUGGCAUUCAUCAUCGUCUUUCUUGUCCACAUCAUCCUGAGUAAAAUGGUUUAGCCGAACGUAAGCAUCGUCACAUUGUUGACACCGGGCUCACUCUUUUAGCCAAUGCCUUUAUGCCUCCUUCCUAUUGGGCUGAGGCCAAGCACACCACUGUUUAUUUAAUUUACCGUCUUUCUUCUAAGUUGCUUCAGUAUAAAUCACCCUAUGAAUUAUUGUUUCACAAAGAACAUAAUUAUUCGUUUUUAAAACCUUUUGGGUGUGCAUGUUUUCCUUAUUUACGGCCAUAUAAUAAUAAUAAAUUACAAUUUCGGUCUUCCAAAUGUGUGUUACUUGGUUAUUCUUUGAACCCUCAAGGUUAUCGAUGCUUGGAUCUUGUUUCUAAUCAUGUUUUUUUAUCGCGUCAUGUGUUAUUUGAUGAAGUUUCUUUUCUGUUUAACAAGGCACAUGCUGCUACUACUCCAGACCAUUCUCCGUCAUCAGACCUGCCUGUCAUCCUCUCUGGCCCAAGUUUAUCUUCAUGCAGCCCAUGCCUUCCAGUGUCGUAUUCUCUGCCUAGUCUCCCUUCUUUGGUGCCAAAAUUAGGAAGCGGAGAGUGAGAACUCACACACACGGGUACCAUGGGAGCUUGAACCCAAGACCUCUUGAGAGCACACCAAAAGCCUAGGAAAAUCCACCUAACACCCCAUUAGUCGACAGUAAAUAGUUCAAUUGCAUAAAAAGAAAACAAGAAGACUUAAUGGAUAUGAAAAAUAGUUUUUCCAACAUAUUUCUUCCCUCGUAUAAGUACAUUAAAAAUUGAACAAAUGAGAUUCCAAAUUGGUUGUCGUCAUCUUUUAGAUCCUUUUUCUAUCUCUUCAACCGUUGGGAGGGUUUUUUUAUUUAAAUUAUUUUUUUGUCAAAAAUGAUUGCUAAUUAAUUACAGUUUUACUUUUUCUUUUUUGCUUUUGUAAUGAAUAAAGAGUACAAAUGAAACAUCGUCAAAAUUGCUUGACAAAGUGGGCUGUCGUUUAAAAAAAAUGUAGAUUACAAGUUUAAUGGACAAGCAAUUUGUGAUCUAUAAAGAUGUUGCUUCCUAUUGCUUUCACCAUUAUUUCCACCAAAGUAAAAUUUAUAGCUGAAAGUUAGAUCAGUUUCGUACACAUAGUAGAUCCAAAAUGUUACUACCAAAAAGGCUUCAGUUUUAACUUGCUACACUUUGCCUACCACUGGAAAUAUCCAAUUCGGAGUGCAUGAGGGUAAAAUUGAGUGUCAUUAUUGGUAGUGAAAUACUUUGUGAUUAGGAAAUAUAUCUUGACAAUUUGAUUAUAACAAAUGAAUAGAAAAAAAAUUAGAAAUACCUGCAUAUAUAGUUAUGGAACAGUUAGAGAUUGAAAUUUCAACCGGCCAGCAAGAAAGGAAAAGGGAGAGAAUCCCAAAAACAAUAGAAAUGUGUGGCAUGGGAGGAGCCCCUAUUAUGUCACCUCCUUAGUUUUCAAUUAAGAAAACGUAGUGAAAAUAUGAGAAUCCUUCCCAGCCACACAUCUCCAUUGGCCUCUGGGAGGCCUAUCUCCCAUUUCAAGUCAGCCAAUUCUAAGAGUGUAUUAUGCUCUCAAGAUUUAGAGCCCAUUAUUUAUAGGGAAGCCAAGGGUACAUAAGUUCAAAAAAUAACCUAUAGUGCCCAUGGUUUCCAUAUGGUGAGGAAUCUAUGCGCCAUCGUAGUUGUUUCACCACAUGUUUUGACAAUUUUCGUGAGGAAGCGAAAAGGAAAAUUGGGUUGGUAUUCUUGCAUGCUUCCCACACGUCGUAAAAUAAAUUCUUGAUAUACCUAUUAAACCAUUUCUUUUAUCAGUUCACGUGAUGAACACGAUGAGAGAGAUAAAGAGAAACCGGCCGGUUACAUCUGACACCUAUGAACAGAAAAGAAUCCAAAACCGUGAUAGGUUGGUGAAGGGAAGUGAUGUUUUUGGUUUUCCAAAAUUGGAUUUUGGAUUUUGGGGAUAUUAGUACCAGUUUUUGAGCCACUAAAUAAUUCGAUUGCAUAAUCAAACUUAAAACAAAAGUUACAGGUAUGUUAGAUAUGAAAUAUAAUUCAAUUGCCUUCUACUUGAUUAUGAUCUUCCUCGCUGGACUAUGAAUGCUAUUGGGCUUCUAAUUUGUUGCUCCAAAAACCCAUUUACCGCAACGGGCCAUUCAUCGGGCCUCCAUAAAUUCAGGUCCAAUCAACAUUUAUAUGGAGAUGAAUGCUAGAUUGGAAAAUCCAUGAAAUCUGCAGUAUGUGGUGGUGUAGAGGCUAUAUGCUGUGGUGGGGAUGAAUGGGGAGACAUAUGCAUAUGAAGGAUCACAUGGUUCUGUCUUCCACAUCAUCAAGAAUUUGGCAAUGAUUGAGACUUCAUAUCUGUUGGAUUGUGUUUUAGUUUUAAAUCUGAAGUCCUUGCUAGGACAGGAAGCUAGACAAGUUGCUGACUCUAAUAUAUCUUUAUAACGGUAUGUAAAUAUUUUUGUAGUUUGUCAAAAAUAAAAAAAUCUUGUCAUGCACCUAUCAAUAAUACAUUGAGGUUUUUUUUCCCUCAGAUAAUUUGUUUUUCUAAGGGUUUUCAAAAAUCUAGUUUAUGCAAGCUGGAAUUAUGCAAAUAGACUUUGGCAAGAGAAAAUUAAUGUCAUAGCAUAUUGUCAUGAAACAAAUAUUUGUGUCAGGAGUUGAUUUGCAAGAAUGUGUUUCAUCAAAAUUUGAUAACUUAGGAUCAAUCAAGCAUUAAAAAUGCCACUGAAAUGGGCAUGAUAUUUCCCCAAUCUGUAUGAGGAACCAUGUAAAAAGUUAUAUGGUCAGCAUUUUAGUCAAAUUCUUGUGCAAAUCUGCUACCACUUGUGGGAUUAACUAUAUAACAAGGGCUACAAGAAGAUAAUACUAUAAUGCAAACCAUAAGACAAGAAAGGAUGAGGAUUUCAAAUAGAUUGUAUAUUGCUCCUGGAGAACAACAAAGAAGUUUACAUAGGUUCAAAAGACAGAAUUUGACUGCCUUUGGGUGGGGGAUGAUAUUUGGACCAAUGGUUCUAGGGAGUUCAUAAUAUCAUCACUUGUCUGCUUCAUAAAAGCUCAGCCUAGAAGCAGCUUCAGCAUUUGAGAAGGUUUGCUUUCACCAUAAGAUGUGAGUUGAUUCCAUGGAUGAGCAGUGGUAGCCUCUUCUUCAUCCCAACUCAGCGAGUUCUGAAAUGUGGAUGCUUUGGAUAUGAUCAUAUCCAAAUUCUUUCAUCUUGGCUCAGUGAGCUCUGAAAUGAGGAUGGUUUGGAUAGAUUGGAUGACCGAUUCGUGUACACUCACACACUUAAGCGGGAAGUGAGAUCAAGGAAGGUGUUUUCACUGCAGGGGAUUGUGAUACCUCCCAUGGGAUGAUCAUAUCCGAAUUCUUCUUCAGCUUGACUCAGCAAAUCCAGGAAUAAAGGCUCAUUCAAAUAUGAUAUCGGAAUCACAAACCGCUUCUUCUGGCUCUCCCCAACAUAGACUGCAAAGUUGCCUUUUGGGAUAUCUAAAGUCUUUGAAUCUGCUGUCUGGCUUGAACUAGAUAGAGAUCGAAUGAGACUUCUCUUUGCGUUAACAAUUGCAGGCAACCGGAAACCCAUGAUCUUAUAUAUUCUCAAAGGACAAAAGAAGAGAGGGAAUUCAAAGGACUUGGAUUUGGAAAGCAGAGAAAGCUUUGGUGCUUGAGAAGGUGAAGACUUGAGUUGCUCAUGAUGAACUUGGUCAUGUGUAUAUAUAGAUCAAGGGUAUCCAGAAAAUCAACAGCUACAUGAAAUUAUUGGUCUGAGAUGGGCUCCAAUGAGGGACACUUGAUUGUGAGAAAUCACAUGGGCUUGUCGUCCUUCUCACCCAACACAUCCUUGAAAGAUUUCUCACGGAACUCUUCCCUACCUCCUCUAGGUAACAGACAACAAAAGGACCACCAGAGGUGAUUCAAUCCAAAAGAAUUUUGUCUGUUAGGUAAGUAGCAUUUAUGCUUCAGACAUGCACUUCUCUUUGUUCACACUAAUUCAGCUGACCACAUAAUCGGACUAUUAUACUACAAAGUUUCUUGAAUAGGUCUGCUAAUGAAUUGCCCUCUCACUUCAUCAAAAGACCAACAACACUGCAUAUGUUGUGGUCCUACCCAACACUGAUACAAUUGUGUUGUGUGGUGCUAAAUAGCUUGCUUGGGAGCAGCAAGGCACCCUACAUGUGGCUUUGUAGUUUCGUCUCUGAUCUUCAGUCUCAGCAAACAAAGGAGUUAUUUAUUUCAUUUUGUUAGGCCAAUCUGGACUUAACCAGAAAACACUAUUGCAACUCGGUCUAAACUCAAUUUUUUUAAAAACCAUUUUCCAUUACAACUCUUGGUUUAACAAAACCAUUGCCAGUCUUGUUUUAGGUAAGUUCGGCGAAAAGCCUACUAGAGAAAUCUAGAAAAUUCUAGAGAGAAGGAGAAGCUAGGUUGAUAAUCUCUUCUUGCCUUUGCUUAUGUCAACAACUGAAGAAGCCAUGUAAACUUGGCUUGCACUCUCUAGCAUAGGGAAAGUCGUGCAUAUAUAUUGUGCCAUUUUUUUAAUGAAAGAAACUUAGUUGUUCGGCUCAGUGUCUCUCUAUAUUAACUCAUGAUGACUCUCCUCCUUAUUAUUCUUUCAGUCCAUUGAGAGAUGUUAAGCAUACUGUGCUUAAUAUAUUAUUAAAUUAUCAGAUACAGUCAUUUUGCCCCCAUGGAUAAAGGAAGUACAAAGUAAACCAUUAUACUUUCAUUUUCUGAAAAAUAUGCUGUCAGUGAUGAUUUUAUUUUAUGACAGAGCUACAAGUACAAUGAAAAAUAAGACAAGAAAGUGGAUCAGGAUUUAAAUUUGCAUUCCAAUAUAUUUUCCUGGAGAGUAACAAAGGUUACACAUGAGAAGAUCAUAGCAUCCAACCCAAAUGUGGAGAGCCCCAAGAUCUUUUAUACUACAAUGCACGUCUUUAAGUUCCGUAUGUACUCUCAAGAACAAUAGUUCAAAAUUUCGAUCAUGAUUUUGGACUAAAGUUUUUCAACGUCCAUAGUGUCUUCGUUUGUCGGAUUCAUGAACUUUUUAACUUUAUGCUCAGAUCACAAGCAGCUUCAGGCUUACAGAUUGCUUCCUCUCAGCACAAGAUGUAAGUCGACAGUGGACGAUCAAGAAUAGCCUCUUUCUCAUCAUUACUCAGUGAGUUCUGGAAUGAGGAUGCUUAUACAUGAAUGAAUUUGGAUCAUAGUUUCUUUUCUUUGGUGUGCACUCAUACACUUAAGCGGGAAGUGAGAUGAAGGAAGAUGUCUUCACUGCAGGGGAUUGUGAUACCACCCAUGGGAUGAUCAUAUCCAAAUUCUUCUUCAGCUUGACUCAGCAAAUCCCGGAACAAAGGCUUAUUCAAAUAUGAUAUUGGAAUCAAAAACCGUUUCUUUUGGCUCUCCCCAACAUAGACUGCAAAAUAGCCUUUUGGGAUAUCUAAGGUCUUUGAAUCAUCUGUCUGACUUGAACUAGAUAGAGAUCGAAUGAGACUUCUCUUGGCGUUAACAAUUCCAGGCAACCGGAAACCCAUGAUUUAGUACAUUCUCAAGAGGACAAGACGAGGAAAAAGAUUGGCAAGGACUUGGAAAAAACAGAGAGAGCUUUGAUGCGUGGGAAGGAUAGGACUUGAGUAGCUCAUGAUGAACCGAUCAUAGUAUAGAUAUACAUGAAAGGUAUGCAAAAAAAUCAUCAGGUACAUGAAAUGAUUUGUACUGAAGAGGAACUGAGAGGAGAAGCAAUGAGGGCCACUAGCUUGUACCAAAUCACAUGGGUUUGUUUUCGUGCUCAUGCAACCCUUCCGCAAGAGAUUUCUCAUGAAAAUGAUCACACUCUAUCCUUGUGUAGAAAAAGGAUACCCUACCUAGCUAGCUCCUCUGCUUAACAGACAACAAAAGGGACCACCAUGUUCUUGAAAAAUGAAUUCAUUGCUCCUCUGGUUAAUUAACAGUACUGCAUAUGGUAUGCCCUACAACAAAAACUUGUUAACUUGUGUGAUAAACUAGUAGUCCCUUUCUUUUUCAUCUUUUUAUAAAUGCUGCUUCAAAAGACAAGAAUUUGUGGUGCUAUGAGAAUAUACAUGGACCCUCGGAUGCUCUAUGAUUUGGUUGGUUGGGAGCACCAAACCACCCUUGCAUGUGGCUUUGUCCUUUCAUCUAUGAUCUUCAGGCCCAACAAGCAAGGGAAGUCUUUCAUUUGUUUGAAGAAUUGAUACUUAUUGAGAAUGCAGUAGGUAAUGAGUACAUAUCUAAAAAGCAUAUGAUAUCAAGAGAGUGCUAAUCUGUAGCAAUUGUAAAUGUAGGAUACAUACUUUUUACUUAAAGUUAAACAUAUGAAAAGAUGUUUUACUAAUCGAAUUAUUUGAUAUAGCAAAUGUAAAUUGAAAAAGAUGAAAACCAACAUUAAGUUCUCUUUGUAGGCGCUAGUAGAGUAAAACAUGCCAAUUCGUUGUAAGUGCAAGCCACAUCGCUUAUGCUUAUACUCAACAUGAAAUGAAUUGUUGACAUUACAAUUCGUGAAAUCUAUCUGUUGACUCUAGCGACGUCAGUAAUUUCAUCUAAAUUGUAGAAAUUUGUUAUAAAAACAAAGAAGAUUAUUGAACAACCUGAUUACCUAAAACCAAAUUAGAUUUUAGAAAAAUAUAGUAGAUACAUAAAACUUUAUUACCUAACAAAGAAAGAUGUCAAAUCUUUCAAAAACAUUUUCUUACAACCAAGGGAAAAAAUCCAAGAUUGAAUUGAUGAAAAUGACUUCGUUUGGACCACUCAAACCUUCUUUGCUAAUUACUCAGUUAGCUAGUUUGUUAAAGUAGAGAAGUUACCUAGUAUAUCUCCAACAAAAAUAGUCAUAUUGUAAAGCCUGUUAUGUAACUAAGGGAAUUGUGGAGAGAAUAUAGAGAAAACAAGUAGCAAUAGAAAGGCUCUUCAUCUGCUUGUAUUAAAGUUUACUUUGUAUCCAUUACAAUUGAGAAGGUAGCCUUGUUUAUAGGCCAAGCCUUGGCUAACAACCAGAGAAAGAAGGCUCAUGGAAGGUGUAAGCAAAUAACGUUCCAACUUGUGGGCUCCACUUGCAGACUUUUACAACACUCUCUCUUGGAUACCACAAUGUAUGGAAUCUGUCUCGUUAAAAACCUUGCCAAUAAAAUUUAGUGGGACAAAAAAUGGUCCAAAGGGAAAAAGAGCGCAUAAUCAUGUGUAACAUAAAAUUAUGUAUAUAUAACACUGACACGCGUGCGACACUGCCUCGUUAAAACCUUGCCAGGUAAAACUCAGUGGGACAAAAAAGAAAAAACUAGAUGAAGGAAAAAGAGUACAAUGUGUGAAAAUCUUAUUGAUGGCACGCUCCCCCUGAUGCUGACAAAAUAUCUUUAAGUCAUGAUGUUGACAAUCUUUCUGAAUGUCGUAGUUGAACACUGCUUCCAUGAAUCAAUCUUGUAAUACUGGUGGAUGCUACCCCUAAAGAAUUACUCCCCUUGAUGUCUUCUUUGAUGAUCCAACACAAAUGAUAUUGAUAUCACAUUUGUACUUCACAAACUGAUCUUUGGUAAUGCUUGUAGAAAACUUGUUGUUGUAACAUCUCUGGAGGAUCCCUGUGUGUCGUCAUUCAUCUAAUUCUUAUUGAGGUUAGAGUAAUACAGAAAAAUAUCUAGGCUAUUUUCAUAAGACUUUCACUGUACACAAUGGUUUGAAUUUCAUAUGUUUUCCAAUAUAAAAAACAAUAAGCUCAUAUUUAUAAUGAUAAGAGCAUUAAAUAUUUAUAUGGUGUUGUUUACCCUUUUUGUAUUUGAGUAUGUUGAAGCCUAAAUAAAAUUCCCCAUUAAUUUUUUAAACACUUAAUGGUUUCUUGAGUAACUUUCUUGCCACUAUUAGCAGAUAAUACCCUAACAGAUUUGAACAACUUUAUAUACUUGCACCCCAAGUAAUAGACUUUAAACAAACAAUUGUGAUUUUGGAUGGGGAAACCUCCCAAGAGAGUUCUUUUCUAUGCCUCAGACUUGUGACGACUUCACAAUUUAUUAAGACAAAAAUGGUAAGCAAAGCAAAAUACACAAAUUUAUGAAGGGUAUAACAGACUAAUCCAAGCAAAACUACUUGAAGCACAAAGUAACAAAUGAAUCUUUAAAUCUACGUACUUCUCAAAGGGGUUGGACUUUGACUUAUGUUUGAAAACAUAGUCGCAAUGAUGACUUGUGAUUAGACUGGACUGAACUUUUGUUGACUAGAUUGAAUGUUUCUGCACUGGAAUUUCAUGUCAGCACCUUCAACUAAUAGAGAUUAGCUAGAAAUCGAUACCAAGUUUGAAGUUUGGCAGAGCUAUAAACAAGUUAAACCUUGAAUAGGCUAUGGAAGUGAUCAAAACUGCAAACGAGUACCUAUUCUUGUUGAUUCUGAGUGAUUUUAAAGCUAUCUAGACAAUUUUAAGACAUUAAGAUGUAUUUGAAAAGCUUGUUGAGGAUUUUGUAUGAUGAAAUACCUGACUUCUUCUUGUUUUAUCUAAUUUGAUGAACCAAAUUUGUCAGAGGAAUUAAUCUCGUUUGAAUUCUGUUUGAUUUACCUUAUCUGGAUUACAAGGGCAAUCUUGGUUUCUUCUUGGUUUUCUGAACUUCUUUUUGAGCUGGAUUGCUUGUUAAGGAAGAUUGCUUGCUUGCUUUUGGUAGUUGUAAGAUCAUAUGAUCUUUGAUUUCUUUUUAUCAAUCUGGAGUUAUUGUUGAGUUUUUCCUUAAUUUGUUGGUUAUUUGUCCCUUCUCCUGUCCAGACACUUUUGUAUUUAUAGGAGAAAAAUGAUGUUGAAGAAAUCUGGAAUUUUUAGUUUUGGACUAUCCUCCAUUUAAUGCACAAGUGGCAAAAGUUUUGUUAGUUAAUGCAUUGAUCGUUUUUGGCACCUGCUCAUUAAUGUUCUUGAAUGUCUCCUGAUCGUUCCUUUUGGAACAACUAAGCUGAAGUGAGCAAUAAUGCCCAAAUUCCUCCAACGUUGGUGUAACACCCGGAUCCAAUUUUAACUUCUCAUUCAAAUUAUUUAAUUUAUUUAAUUGUGAAAUUACAAUUUUACCCUUAGGGCAGGGUUAUUUUGGUCAGUUUUUAAUCCGAUAGGAUUUUGGGGAAUUGAAUGGCACCAUUACUUAGAGUGCAUCGAUACGAGUUCAUAGACAUUCAGUGGGAUCAAAUAAGAGUUUUAACAAAGAAGUUACGAUCAACGGAAGUGCAAUGGCACCACCGUAAAUAUUUCAAAAUUUGAAAUUGAAACACUAGAUUCUCUCUCUCAAUCUCUCCCUCAUGAAUCUCUCUCUCCUCUGUUGGGAGCACCACAACCCCGUCGUCUUCUAACGAUGAUUCCGGCGUCAUCCUUCCUCUCCUGCUACGAAACUGGUUACAAUUUUUUUUCAUCUCUCUCUCCUCUUUACAUCCAUACCAAUUUCCAACCUCAAUUCCAAGGGAUUAAGCCAAAAAUUCGAACGAAAACCCAACUCAAACUGGCCUGUCAAAAACCAUGACUUUCGGCGUUUGUUCCGGCCAACUUCACCGAUCACCAGGUGGGUUCCAAAACACUCCCGUGCCUCCCCUCUGUAAUUUUCCUCGAAGACCCGACUUGAUUUCAACCCGAAACCAUCGAAUUGAAACCUAGAAGGUGUUUCAACGAGAAAACCAACUGUUCGAGGGCUUUAGCGGCUGAAUUGAUCUUCAAGCAAAGGUAUAAAGUUACUCCCCUUGAUGUGUUUGAUCUUUUGAUAUGAUUAUUGGCCAGCGGUUUGGAGUUUUUCGAUCGCCGGAAAUUUUUUCAAGACACCCGUAGGCAGUGGUGGCUCGUCAGUGGGGUAUCAAGGUUGGGUUUUGAAGCUAGAAUGUUCCCCAUGUCGUCCCAAGCACGAUAGUAUGCUCAAAUUUGAAUUUGGUUGUUGUUUGACGGUCGAUCAAAUUUACACAUAUUAGGCGUCUUCCGUGUUCGAUAUGUUCAGACCGUUGGAUCAACUCCAUUUCCAACUAUGCUGGUCUAGAUACCUCUCAGAUCAUGUAGGAACUACGAAUUGAGAAUCGGAGUCCCGGAUACUCCAAUUUAAUGGCUCAAAGUUUGGGUAAAACGGUGACCGCCCGAUCGUAUGAUUGUGAGCGAUCCGACCGCUCGAUCUGGACCAAACUUGUAGGACGUGUUUAGUAAGCUUUGUUGAACCCGUAGGGAACUUUUGGAUAGGAAAUUGGAGGUCAUGGGCCCAACAGGCCCAGCUGACCAAAUUUGGGAAGUUUGACCACUUGGUUGACCGAGCGUCUUUCGAGGUUAUUUCACAUUUCAGAACAUGUAGUUGGACCUUAGAAACUUCCUGUUUGUUGUAUACACACCUUGAAUUCCGGGAAAAAUUAGGAAUUUAUUUUAAAGUUUCCAUCCAAAUUAUUUUAAUUAAUCUAGUCCUCGUAUUUUUCAAUAGGCACUUCGGCUCAGCGUACUCAAUAGGGUUAAGCAGCUCUAGAUUAUCUGUGAGUGGACUUUGUUUUUAAAUAAUAAUCAUUAUUUUCAAAGAGAAAAAGCUAUGCAUAAUGAGUUAUUCGAUUAUUGAGUUUAACAUAUUAUUUAUUUAAAUGUUUGAAUUUGCAUAUUGUGAUUAUCUUGAAUUAAUAUAUGCUAUGUUUGAGAGUUACUAUCUGACAGGACCCGAUCCAAAUUCCGCUUUGGAAUCCAAGCCGGACCCUGUGCGUGUCCGACACCUGGCGAAUGUCAGGCACAAAUGACCUAUUUGCCCUUCUAUACAAAACAUGAUAAAAUAACAAGGUUGACGUCUACCGAAAAACCGGCAGAGUUUCCCUUGUAACUGGCUCAAUACCAACAUAUUUACACCUGCCAAACAAGUAUAUAUAUACAUCCAACUGCCAGCAUACAUUUAUAUACAGUCCAACCGUUCAAUUCUCAAUCUAGGGCAAAACAUCAGAGCAACUACUAAGAAUUUACAAAGAAGUGAAUCUUUUUACAAAACAAAAAUCCUACAUCAAAGAAAAGGCGCGGAAGAUAGAAAACGGCCCGGUGGUGGAUCACUGUGCACGUCUUCUGCCUGGGGGAGCAAAACAUGGAAAAGGGUGAGUGGACCUAAAAACAAAGUUUAGAAAAUAGCAUAUGAACAUACUAACCCCACUGUAAAAACAGUUGUACAAACUAAAUUAUUCUCUUUAUUUCUGCAAUCAAUGCACGUAUAUAAUUAUACAUGUAAAUAAUCAUAUUCAUGGUCAACAUUACUUUUAAAAACAGUUUAAAACUACCACCUAGGUGUACCCUUUAUUUCCGUCAAUUCCUUAUAUCCGUCAAUUCCUUGCAUCACCAUAGGUGACACAUACUCGCAGGUCUCAGUGACACGAGGUCAGUCCGAGCCGCAACUCGCAUGAUUCAGGGGACCGUGGUCCACCUUUAUCCGCAUACUCGCUCCAUACGAGUUCGAUUACCAAGGAACUUGUGGGGCAACUGUCAAGCAUGCUGACUAAACCGAAGGCAACCAAUAUAAUCCGAAGGCAACAUUUAAUAUCUGGGUACAAGGUGGUUUAACAAAAUAUAAAGUUUCUGAAGCAAAGCUGUUGAAUAAUAAACUUUCUAUAACCUUUCAAAUUCUGCUGCCAUUUAUCUGACAAGUAACUAUAAUUUCUUUUCUUAUAUCCGUUAAAAGGUAUUCCACUCGGCAGCAUGUAAAAUAAAACAGCUUAUAAUUGAAACUGAACUGCUUAAAUUCAUUUAUUAAAACAUAGAGUCCAUUCACCGGUAGUCCGAGCUCGCUGGACCUCUUAAAGGUCCCUCCUAUGGGUCAACUGGUGCCCGGGUGCCUGAUUCAAUGACCAUAAUAUACUAUUAAUACAAUAUAGUGUUAAUAUAAAAACUCUGACCCCCAGCUCCUAAAAGUACAUGCGUACAAUUAAAGUUAUCUCUAUGCCCAUAAAAGCUUUCCUUCCAGUUUAGCAGUAUCUUGGGACUCAAAAAGCGUUAAAGUCCCAAAAAAUCAACCCGGGACCCCACGGGUCCAUGACCUCACAAUAUAAUUCGGAAGCCGCAAGAAGGUCCAAUAUAUCUAGGACACAUGUCCAGAGGGUAUUGGUCUCGAUCGGACGGUCAGAUUGAUCACGAUCGUGCAAUCGCAUAUUUUCCAAACCCAAGCUCUAGGGUUCGCGAUUCUCGGAGUCCCUAGGACUCCGAUUCACAAUCCGUCGAAUCCUACACGAUUCUAAAAUUGUCUAGAGUAACAUAUCUGAAACUGGUUACGAUCCAACGGCUCAACCGUAUUGAACCCGGAAAUCGCACAAUAUGGAAAAUCCGUUCGAGGCUCAAACGGUAUCAAAAUUGAGAUCCGUGAAUUCCUACGCGCUCGUGACAACCUAAGGAUCGCAUCAAGUCUCAGUACCACUGCACUACCCUCGCCCACACGCUGCCGCACGCGCCGGCAGCGCUGGGUGUCCAAAGCGAUUAUGCAUCGCCGGAAAAUCUCGAAACCACGGCUCCGAACUCCUACCAUAGGUAUAACACCAUAUUUGGAACCACUUUUGUUCUUGGACCUACCCCAAAAACUGACCGAAAGUGGCCGAACACGGAGGUCGAAAAUCAGCCAAAUUCCAAUUUGAAAACCGAGCUAUCUACGGUCAAAAUCGAUGCAAACCUACCCAACCAUCAGCUAGAGCAUGGAAAAUAGGUAGAAAUCCAUACCUUACUCGACAAAUUUGGAGAAGAAUUGAGGGAGAACGAGCGGUUGCAAAACUGUGAAAAACCAGCUCGAGUUUUACAGUUUCCGGCGGCUGAACGACGGUGGCUGGCAGCGGGCUGGGCGGGGCUUGAAGACGGAACCGAGCUGGUCCUUUUGGCACCGACGGCAGGGGCAGGGGUGGUCAGUGGCGAGAGUUCUGGCGAUUGGAAAGUGACGGGAAGGAGGACAGCGGGAGAGGGAGAGAGAGAGAGAGAGAGAGGAAAACUUUUCGUUAAAACUCCGAUUCGAGUCCACUUCAUGUCUGCGAACUCAUUUCGUCGUGCUCUACACAACGGUGUAUGUGGAAUUGUCAAAUUCCUUUUCGGUCAAAAAGUCAACUUUUCGUUAAGAAAUUAUUCCAAGGGCAAAAUUGUCUUUCCUCAUAAUAAAUUACUAAUUAAAUAUGAAUUUUAGGUUUGGGUUAUUACACUAUACUUGGAUGCGUGUUGGGUACAUGGGAUUGGUAGAAAGAGAUUAUGGAAUGGGAUUUGAGUUGUGGUUUAUAUUAAUUUUGAAGUGCUUUAGGCACUACCCUAUGUACCUUCCUGGUUUUGGAAUACAUGGAUUGGAUACUUGGAAACUUUUGGGAUACUUUGAUAUGUCGAAACCCAACCACCCUUGACAGGGUGUUUUGUAGACCCUUAGCAGGAUUAGUCUGCAAGCGUAGGACUUGUCACAGGCGUACAAGUAUUGAAGAUUCUGUUGUACAUGUUGGUGAGCCAGUCCCCCGGUUGGACAACUCAUUCCCUAGCCACAUGGUCAAUUGAGGAUUCUUCUAUAUGGUCUAGCCAAACAAUCCCCCGGUUAGAUUAUUUCCUCAGUACAAGUUUGGUAGUGGUCAUACUUAUGUAUAUAUAAAAAAUUUAUAUAUAUACACACAUAUACUUUCGUUCUUGUUUAUCAAUGAGGAUUCUUUCUUGCUUGUGGUGCCAACGGGCACGCGUUUUGGGUGAGAGUAGUUUGGGGAAAAUGGGUAAGGUUUUGAGUGGGAUGGGUAUUACUAUACCAUUAUGAGAUAUGGAUUUCACUUUGGUUUUGACUUAGCUAUAUAUAUAUAUAUAUAUAUCGAUUUUGAAUGCAUAUCCUUUUUAGAAUCGUUUUCCAAAUGGUGGGGGUUAGUAUGUUGUUUUUAACUAUGUAAAAACUUUAUUUUUGUCCACUCACAAAUUUUCUGUUUUGCUCCCACAAGGCAGUAGUUGAGCUGAGUCGAGCGACUAAGCCGAGUCUUGUACUUCCGAGCCCCAAGUUUCUGUAGGACAAUGUUUACUUGUUUUUAAUUCUAUUGAACUCGUUUCAUUGUAAACUGAAUUUCUUUUGAUAUGCUUGGUUAUCGCCCAUGCUAGGGUUGGAUGUAAGGUCAGAGGCCUAUUAUGUAAAUUGCAUGAUUUUUCAUUGUGCAUGCUGUUGUUGGGAUUUUAUUACUUUGUUUUUUACAAGUUAAAAAUUUGGGAAAGUUUGUUUUUCAAGAGAGACUCUACCGAAAUUUUGACAAAAUGUCUAGUUCCUCUUUUCCUUAAUUUGGAAAAGAAGCUAUAAUGUUAGUAAGUGGGCCCGGCAUCAGUUUGAUGUCCGAAAUACCACAGGAUUCGCCACGGAUUCCAAGAAAAUUCAGGGCGGGUCUUGUCAAUUGGUUCCAUAAAUACAAAUAUCCUGGUAGUAGAAAAUAAAUCCGGCGAUCUUACAAUAAAUAGUCGUGAUUUCUGUUUGUGCAAAUAAUCUCACGGGAGAAUAUUCUCUUCUAGAUUCUUCAACCUUCGAUCUUCCUUCUCCCUCUUCCUCGAUUCCUGUAAAAAAGACUAGAGUAAAUAGACCACACCCCCCGUGUUGGCCAAAGGCCCUCCAAUGCCUAAGUUCGUUCGAGUGUUUGUAGGAAAACAAUAGCUAAACAAAGGGUACGGAGUUGUAUGUAGGGUGUAAACCGGGUGACCGGAGCCAUGUGUGGUGGCCGGAGCCGUGUGGAGAAAAUAUGGAGAGUGGCGAGGGAGAGAGAGCUUCGGGUAUUUUUCUCGGGUAUAAGGAGUAGGUUUAGAUGUACCUUGAAUGAUGAAUGAGGUCGUCUAUUUAUAGGAGCCUUGGGGCUAGGGUUUCGUAGGGAUCGAGUCGGACCUGAUAAUAUCCGAAUUAAAUAUAUUAUCGCUUAAGAAGAUAAUAUCUAAAUUAAAUGAUAUUAUCUUCUCUUUAUUAGGAUAAUAUCUUAAUUAAUGAUAUUAUCUCUUUAAAUAAAGAUAAUAUCAUAUUAAUUAAGAUAUUUAUCCCAAUUAAUUAAUUAGCUAGAUAAACUGGUUUAAUUAAUUAAUUUAAGAGAUAAACUUCUUUUCCACGUGGCGUGCCUUGAUUGGAGACGAAAAUAUAUGCUCCCACAAUUUCCAACUAAAGUAAGUCUGACUUCACUUUCCAGCUUUCAUGGUCAUUAAAGUUAUUUGGAGCCGAGUUACCAACAGUGAGGAGUCAUUCUGACAUACCUUAACAUCUAAGAAAUUGUAAACUUUGGGCUAUACUAAUUCAAAUAAUUUUGACCCUUGGAUUAAAUCACCGUUGAUUAUCAAAAUAAUGUGAAUUUAUUUUAAUUUGAUCCCCCUUUGUUUGAAUAGUAUGGGCCAUUCACCACUUUUGGUAAAUAAAGCCCAAUACCUUUUUGAAAAGUGAACCCAAUGCUUAUUUCGGGAUGGUGCACAUAUUUCAGGCCCAAACAGUACCCCUAAGUCUGAAUAUCGUCUCUAAAAAACGAUUUCAUACUUAAUGAUUGGCCUGCCUUCUAUUGAUGUGCGCCCUUUUGAUCUAUUUGCUCCUGCCCACGUCUGUUCAUUGAUUGGACAUUUUGGAAAAGUGGGUAUUAACGAUUAGUUAAUUCUUGGCAACUCUUCUUCUCCCACUAUCUGUCUUCUUUAGAGUAUAAAGCUGCAACCUACUUUACUCUUUUAAAACCAUCAUUAACCCCGAGUUCUUCAAUUUGUAGAGUAUUUCCAAUCUUUGAAAUUUAAAAUUUCAAUGAAAAAUUCAAGCAUUUCCCUAAUUCUGCCUGAAUAUUCUCGAUGGCUUCUCCCAAAACCCGUGCUAGUAGUUCUUCCUCCUUCCCUCCACCUUAUAUUUCAGGCGAAGGUGUUGAUACACAUGCCAUUGAGAUUCGAAGCAAACUCCAUUCAUAUUCCAAGAAGAAUUUGAAUGAAAAUAUCCUACAUUUGAACGGGAAUGCUAUCAUUCUGGGUUCUGCCUAGUUUGGGAAAGUUUUUGAGGAAAUGGCCAAACUUUUUAAGGCAGAUGCUGAAGCUCUGUUUUGCUAUUGUAAUCCUUCUCUAAUAUUCCAUUCCUCGGUUAGCAAGAAUCUAAGCAGAUCAUACCAUUCUAAUGAAGUGAGGAAUAGCUCUAUGAAGUGGUCAUAAUAGUUUGGCCGACUCUCUCCAAGGUAUGAAGGCCAUUGGAAGAAAGCUAGCAUAUAUGAUGCUUUGCUUCUGUCUAAGCAUUCAAUUAAUAGAGAUGAGAAUCUCUUUGCUGCUUCUUUAUGUUUUUGGAAUUCUGCUACAAACACUUUUGACUUUCGUGUUAGCCCUAUGCCUCCAACUCUGCUCGAUAUGGCUCAAAUAUUUGGAUUUAGGCCACAUGAAAGGCCUGCUGAUGCAUUUGGAGAUUAUCACGGAAGGAAAAAUGGUGAAAGAGUAGCUAAAACGAAGCCUUGCCAUUCUUGCCAACGGAAUACCACUUUCCAACAAUUAUUGAGGCCAAUGGCCUUUAAUCUCCUGUUAAUUUAAUCGGAGUCUCCUCCAUGCUUCUCUGAUUUCUCUUUUUCAAAAUGUCGAUCAUUAUCCAAUAGAGCUAUCUGUUUGCCCCUGAAAGUGGAUUUUUCAAGCAAAAAUUGUGCCAUUGCCUAAACGUGUGGCAACUCAAUCCUGUUAAAAACACUGGAUUUUGGUAUGUCCUGUAAUUGUGCUUGCAUAAUCCUGCUGAUGAUAUUUGAUUCUUGCCCCUACUAUACUGGAUGGAUUUAUUUAGAUGGAUUGGAUAGCCUUGUUAAGGCACUAUCCUUCUUCUAUGGUUUAAUAUCUGCAUUUUUAUGGCUAUCUCUGGCUCAUUCACACCUUAUAUUUACAAUAAACAACAAUUCCAGACAUAACAGUUGCCUUUGAUCUAAUCAAAGUUUCCUUGAUAACCCUCCUAUUUUGACAGGGACCUAUCUCCACAGUUGCCUUUGACUGAGAGCCUUUUUGCAUAUCCAUGAGUUAAAAACGAAGAGCAAAUUUACUGGCCAUACUGGAUUGUGAGAAGUGGCUUUGGAGACACUCUUAAAGAGGUGCAGCCGACAGUGAGAGAGAGAAUGGACUCAAAGAGUAUACUGGUGAUGUAGCUGACAAUGAGUUGGUCUUGUUGGUACCACUGAGCACGGGCAGGAUUGGUUUGGGUAAGAGAGAUGGUGGUGAUUGUGGGUGUUACGGUGGUAGAAGUGGAGGUUUGAGCAGAAGGUUGUUUAUGAGUGCCUUCGAUAAAUUUUCAGAGGUCAUGACCGACUCAAAAGAGUUUGAGUUGGCAGAGCCAAAAGAGGUAGUUGGAGUCAGUAAGCUUGAUAAAAUAAGAACAGUUGGGGUUAGGGAAGGAGAUGGUGGAUUCAGACGAAGCCAUAAGGUGGACCUAAAGGAAACGAUUGGAUCGAAUAAGGGAGAGGGAGGAAACCCUAGGUAAGGCUGAUAUCAUGUAGAGAAUAUAUUUUCUUGUAUUAAACAGAAUACACAAAGUCCCUAUUUAUACUGAUACAGGAAAUCAACUUAGGAUAGGAAAUAAUAUAGACAUGAAUACAAUCCCAUUUACAGCAGGAAAAGCUAAUUGCUAGGAGGAGAUUGUGAAGUUGACUUCCGUGUGUACUAGGAAAGGGAAGCUGCGUUAACAUCUUUCUUUGGCCAAUUUAGAUUUACCAUAUUGACUUGAGUUUUGGGAAAAAGGAUUGUAUCAAUAGUGGGGACCUUCUUUGCUAUUUUCAACUUUCUUGAGGCUAAUGCUUCUUAGACAACAUCCCUUAAAACAACACAGCUAUUGGUAGUGUGAUUCAAAGAAUUAUGCCACUUGCAAUACUGUCUUCCCUUCAAUUCUUCUGACUUUGGCAACCUGUGUCUAGGUGGUGUAUCUAUAGCCUUCUGAGAUAACAUUUCAUCAAACAAACCGUCUAACUUUGAUAAAUCAAAAGAAUAAACCUUGUUUGUUGGCUGUUUGUUUGGAAUGAAACCUCCAGUGAAGGGUGGUGGUUUUUGAUCCUUUGGUGCCUUUAGCAAAACUUUACAACUUAUUGUCCCUUUAUUUUAGCCAUUUUUUCCACCACUGCCAUAGUUUCCUCUGGUUCUAGCUCCUUUUCUUAUUCUACCUGCACCAAAUGUAUUGAAGAUGAAGGGGUCUUGUAGUAUGUACAUUUAGAAGCAUUCCUCUUCUGUUGUUAUUCCUUCAAUAAUUCUUCAUAUUUGGUGACCUUAUCCGCCAGUUCUGCUAAGUCUCCAAAUAUUAUUCCAUUGAACCUUUUUCUCAAGGAGAUCCUCAAUGAUGUUUGUCCCAUCUGGAUAAAGUGCCUCUCAUAUAUAGGAAUUCUAAACUUCAUUUUCAGCUUUCUGAACCUAGUAAUAAAGUCAUGAGCUGCCUCAUUCUCACUCAGCUUCAGUACAGUCCUCAGGCUAGAUUCUGUACUAGUAAUCAUGGAAAGCAGUGCUUAGCCUUUUUGCAUAAUACAGUGGAUUAGGACAAGAAAAAUAGGAUUCCUAUGGAAGAACUUCUUUUUUUGGGGGGGGGGGGUUGUAUUCCAUUAGGAUUCUAGAGAGUUUAAAAAGAUUUUGUUUAAGUGCCUGCUUUCAUAGAACUUUAUGGAACUUUAUAAUUCGUAUAGAACUUGAUAGACUUUCAGAAGACUUCUGUAUAUUUUUUUAAUAAACUUUCUUAAGUUUUCAUAGAACUUGAUAGGCUUUUAUUCUAGACUUAUGUAGACAGUAUAUUUCAGUUUAUCCCCAUCCUUGUCAUUUAAAGAAAGAAACUUGAAUUUUUUCAAUCAAAUUUGUUUUUGUUAUCCAAAGCAAAAACAAAAAGUACUUGUUUGCUCUUCCCUUUUCUAUUUACUUGUUGUGUAUUUUCAGACUCCAUUUGAGUGCAGCUAUGAAUUUUAUCAUGUCAAUCAUAAAAUACAGCAUAAAAAAUAUCAAAAAAUGUACAUCAUCAACCAUAGAUUAAACAUGACACAUCUUAUGUUGAAUGGAAAAGGACGCAGUAGGAAUUUACAGAUUUGGGGUCCGAACUCUGAUUGGCGUGUAUGAUACCUUUCUGAAAAGGAAACAAUGCUACGAGUCAAACACACUGCUUUGCUAUGACGUAUGGUGGAUUUUGGGCUUUUGAGGUCGUUUAGGCUUCCAAAACAGCAUUUAAAAGUUGAAAUUUUUGGAUUUUCGUUUUUUUAAUGUUCAUUUAUAUUUAUCUCAGUAUUUUUGUUCGAUUAUAGAAAGGUUGUCAAUUAUUUCAAUUUUCUAUCUAGUCGUAUAUAGAUAUUUCAAAAGAAAAAGUAGUAACAAGCAUAAACCGUAGUAAACAAGCAUAAACCCUAGUAACAAGUAUAAACCUAAUAACAAGAAAAACACGAUGAAGAAAAAAUCAUGGAAAAAGAAAACCCAACAAGGUAUGGAUCAAAGAAAAAAUAGGGAGCAUACCUUCACAGAUGAAGGAAGGAAGAUGUUCAUCUUCGCAGAUAGAAAAGCCAAGAGAAAAACGUAUGAUGAAAUACUUGGGAGGGAGGUUGGAUUAUUUUGGUCUUUGUUAUUUAUAACUCUCCCCUUAAAACCUAUGAAAAUUUAUCACUUAAUGAAAUCCUUCCAAAUAUAUCACCUUUUUUAUAAUCCUAAUUGAAUACACCCAUAUUUGAAUAGACAUUUUAAAAGUUCAUAUAAGUCCGAAUUGAAUACACCCAGACUUGUAAAACCUCUUUUAAAAUUUUGUAUAAAUCCAAAUUGAAUACACUCGGAUUUUUAAAAUCUUUUUAAACGCUUUAUAAUCCUAAUUGAAAACACUCUAUUGGGAUUGUCAUUGCAGCUGCCAUUGGAUUCUAUCAAGCCUAAAUACAUGAUUAAAUAAACUUACAAAAUUUAGAGAAUCUUUCUAUCUUUGCGUGUCUAUUGAGACCGGUUAAGUGUGAACUACUAGGGACUGAAACAUAUUUGUACUUUUUAUCCUCUAAUUGAUCUUUUCCAUGUUUAAUGUUCUCACUUAGAAUUGAAUUUAGAUGGAUAACCUUUAUUUGGAUAAUAUCCAACCCAUACAAGUGAGACAUUUAGUAUAAAAGUUCCAAUAUUUGAAAUUUCCAAGCAAUCUUGUCCAAUUACUUCUGAUAUAAGCCGUCUUUAACAUUAUAUUGGGCAGAAAAUCAGAAUAUUUGGCCAUCUUCAACUUUGUGAGAUGUUCAAAUUUGGUCUACUUCCAGAUUCUAUUUUUGUAUGAAGCAACAAGCUACAAUUAGAUAAUAACUUACUGAAAAAUGAGACAAUAAAGUGGAUGAGGAAUCAAAAUAUAUCAUUACAUUUUCUCAUGUUUCCUGGAGAAUAAAACAUUUAGAAUUGUACAUGGCUUAAAAGACAAAUCUUCUUGUCAUCCAGUUCAAAAUUGGAGUUAUGAUUUUGGGCUCAAUAGUCUUCGAAUCGAGAGUUCAUGAUAUCGUCAUUCGACUGCUUCACAAAUUUUGUAUCUUCGUGCUCAGCUCACAAGCACUUUGACCAUCAAAGAAGGCUUCCCAGAUUCAUAAGCAACAGAAAAAUGUGCAUAUGAUCAAUCACAGCCUCUACUUCAUCUUGACACGGCGAGUUCUUCUGAUCGAACUGAGUGCUGAUUUGGAUAUGAACCAGAUUCACUUCAUUUGCGUUCAUUCAUACACUUAAGCUGGAAGUGAGAUGAAUGAAGGUUUCAUCACUGCAGGGGAUUGUGAUACCACCCAUUGGAUGAUCAUAUCCAAAUUCUUCUUCUGCUUGACUUAGCAAAUCCAAGAACAAAGGCUCAUUCAAGUAUGAUAUUGGAACCACAAAUCGCUUCUUCUGGCUCCCCCCAACAUACACUGCAAAGUAGCCUUUUGGGAUGUCUACGGUGUUUGAAGUAGCAGCCUUGUUUAGACCCUUCUUGGAGUUAACAAUUCCUGGCAAUCGGAAUCCCAUGGUUUUUAUAUUCUCAAGUGGAAAAUUUGAACAAGAAAGAAUUCAGAGGACUUGGGAAACAGAGAAGACUUUGAUGCUUGGCAAGGAGAGAGACUUGAGUUGUUGGUUAUGAACCUGAUCUCUUGUGUAUAUAUAGAUGAAAGAGUAUCGCCUUCUACAUGAAAUGAGUGGUCUCGAGGCGCAGAGAUUUGCCCCAGUGAAGGAUAAUAGCUUGUGAGAAAUCAAAACAUAACAUGGGUUGUCUUCCCACUCGCAUAAAUCAUCUCCACAUGCAAUGACAAAACUGUAUCCCUCUGUACAAACAUCAUUCCCCACGUCUUAUUUCAUCGAGUAAUUUGUUGUGGUCUAAAGAUUGCUAAUGUGUUCCUGUCAAGAGACUAUGGACAGAUAUGUCUUAACCCUGUUUUGUACUUCAAAGAAGUCUUUUCUAUCCGCAUAUAAAGAGUUUGUAGGUGUCACAAAAAAAAUUGUUGGGCAUCAUGUUCUCCAACAAACAUACAGACUUAAUAACUACCAAGUUCUUGAGAAUGAGAUGGAAAACAGACCAUGUGAUCCCUCAAAUUCUCAUGCCUCUUUCCAAUCCCCACCCAAUUGUCCCCAUUUCAGAUAUUUUCCUCUACACACCCUUUCAUCUAUACGUAGACACACACAUACACACAGAUGAUCCCAUAAACAAUUGAAAUCCUGAGUCUUUACAAACAUGAAAUCUAAUGAGACGUGAUCCUAAAAUGAUUUAGUUUCCUGUUUUAUUUGUAUUUAUUUCAUAGAUUUGCUGUAUAUAUUCCUUAUCUCUCAAGGACUUGAUUCUUGCCUAGAAUAGGAAAUCCUUUGUGUAGACACCAAGCAAAGCAUUGUAUAUAAUUAUCACAUGAUUGUUCAAUGAAAAUCAUCGAGAAUAUUCAAAACCUUUCAUGGUAUCAAGAGCCUGAGACUCACAGUCCUCGAUCCUCAAUUUUCUUGUUCCCUGUCUUUUUUUUUUUUUUGUUGGCACCAUGGCUUCUUCCUCGUCUAUUGAUUUUCCUAGCGUUCAUCAUGUUAUCUCCAUUCGUCUCAAGUGUGAUAAUUAUCUGACGUGGCUUGCUCAAAUUGUUCCUAUCCUUCGCAUCUACCGCUUGCUCAGCUUUGUUGACGGCACUUCUCUGUGUCCUCCGACCAUUCCUGACCCAAAUGCUAAGGCCGAUGAAUCUACUUUUCUGUCUCUCCUCCCCAACCCAGAGUAUGAUGAUUGGGUCCAGAAAUAUCAGCUUGUUUUCUCUCUCUCAUCAACGGUUCCUUUCACCAUGAAGUUCUCACCACCGUAGCUUCCAAGACCAUCGCUGUGACACUUGGGUAGCCCUUGAAACUCAUUUUGCUUCUCCGAAUCAGAAUCGUCUUCUUCAACUUCACAGUAACUUGCUUUGCACAACCUGUUGUGAAUCUUCCAUCACUGAUUUCCUUGAUCGUAUUAACUCGAUUGACGAUAACUUGGCUCUGGCAGGUGCUUUAGUUGCUGACUCUGAUCUCCUUGUGAUGGUUAUGAACAACGUUUGUCCUCUUUAUGAAAAUACCAUUGCCGCUACUCAAGCUCGUGAGAAACCCAUCAAUAUGCCUGAUCUUGAUGCUCUCCUCUUGUCUGCUGAACGUGGCCUGUAGUUAUCUUAUUCUCUGGUCAUGUAUUCUGGUGCGACAGCUAUGGAAGCUUCCCAUGGUGGUCUCGGUGGCUGUGAUUUUGGCGAUUGUGCUGGGUUUGCUGGUCAUAGUCCCGAUCUUCCCAACUCAUUCUCUCCCUCACGACUAGGUUUUACUUCUGGUCGCGGUUUCCCUGGCGCUUCCUAUGGCGCCUCUAGUCCUGCCUCACAUCAACAACAUUUUGGUAGCAAUAUCGAGCUGAGUGUUCUUGGCCCACCUCCUUCUGGCUCUACUGCUUCCUCUUUUGGGCUUCAUUCUGCCCCUAGGCCUCUUCAAUGUUUCAAUUGUCAUGGUUUUGGCCACAUCGCAGCUGUCUGUCCUUCCAAGACGUUUUCUGUGCCUUCUCCUCUGUCUCGUCUUCAAGACAUAACUGCUCAAUAUCCUUCACAUGGUGGCCAUCAACAGUGGGUUGAUGAUACCGAUGCAAACACUCAUAUUACCAAUGACCUGAGCUUCUUAUCCCUUGCUAAACAGUAUCAUGGUUCUGACAAUGUUGGAGGUGUGCUUGGUGGAACAGGUUCGCCUAUUAAAAAUAUUGGUCACUCUCGUUUCUCUCACCUUAAUUCUUCUUUUCAUCUUAAUGAUAUUGUUCAUUGUCUCGAUGCAUCUCUUCCUCUCUUACCUAUUCAUAAAUUUCCCACUAACAACCAUUGUUUCUUCACUUUUUUUCCUAAUUGUUAUUUUAUCCAGGAUUUGGGGACGAGGAGGACACUUUCUUGGGCAAGAGUAGUAAUGGCCUAUAUCCCUUUUCAUUUACACCGAAUGAGUUUUUUCAAGUUUUGCGUGAUCGUGUUGCUUUACUAGGUGUCUAUGUUGACCGCUCUGUGUGGCACUCUCGCCUUGGUCAUCCUGCUUCGUCUACUUUGCAAUUUUUGUUAUCUCAUAAUAAAUUGCCAUCUUCUGGCUCUGUCUAGUUCUUUUUGUCAGUCAUGUACGUUGGGUAAAAGUGUUAAAUUACCCUUUAGUCCUUUUUAUGUCCUUUCUUCUCCACUGAAACUUAUUCACUCUGAUGUAUGGAGUUCUUCAAAUAAAUCUAUUUCUUAUUUUAAUUAUUAUGUUUUAUAUGUUGAUGAUUUUUGUCGUUAUUCUUGAAUUUUUCCAAUGAAAUUGAAAUCAUAAGUUUUCUCUCACUUCAUUAAAUUUAAGGCUUUGGUUGAAAAUAUGUUUUUCACUACGAUUAAGGCAUUUCAAUCAGAUGGGGGUGGGGAAUACACUAGUCAUCAAUUUAAGAAUUUUUUAUCUCAUCAUGGCAUUCAUCAUCGUCUUUCUUGUCCACAUCAUCCUGAGUAAAAUGGUUUAGCCGAACGUAAGCAUCGUCACAUUGUUGACACCGGGCUCACUCUUUUAGCCAAUGCCUUUAUGCCUCCUUCCUAUUGGGCUGAGGCCAAGCACACCACUGUUUAUUUAAUUUACCGUCUUUCUUCUAAGUUGCUUCAGUAUAAAUCACCCUAUGAAUUAUUGUUUCACAAAGAACAUAAUUAUUCGUUUUUAAAACCUUUUGGGUGUGCAUGUUUUCCUUAUUUACGGCCAUAUAAUAAUAAUAAAUUACAAUUUCGGUCUUCCAAAUGUGUGUUACUUGGUUAUUCUUUGAACCCUCAAGGUUAUCGAUGCUUGGAUCUUGUUUCUAAUCAUGUUUUUUUAUCGCGUCAUGUGUUAUUUGAUGAAGUUUCUUUUCUGUUUAACAAGGCACAUGCUGCUACUACUCCAGACCAUUCUCCGUCAUCAGACCUGCCUGUCAUCCUCUCUGGCCCAAGUUUAUCUUCAUGCAGCCCAUGCCUUCCAGUGUCGUAUUCUCUGCCUAGUCUCCCUUCUUUGGUGCCAAAAUUAGGAAGCGGAGAGUGAGAACUCACACACACGGGUACCAUGGGAGCUUGAACCCAAGACCUCUUGAGAGCACACCAAAAGCCUAGGAAAAUCCACCUAACACCCCAUUAGUCGACAGUAAAUAGUUCAAUUGCAUAAAAAGAAAACAAGAAGACUUAAUGGAUAUGAAAAAUAGUUUUUCCAACAUAUUUCUUCCCUCGUAUAAGUACAUUAAAAAUUGAACAAAUGAGAUUCCAAAUUGGUUGUCGUCAUCUUUUAGAUCCUUUUUCUAUCUCUUCAACCGUUGGGAGGGUUUUUUUAUUUAAAUUAUUUUUUUGUCAAAAAUGAUUGCUAAUUAAUUACAGUUUUACUUUUUCUUUUUUGCUUUUGUAAUGAAUAAAGAGUACAAAUGAAACAUCGUCAAAAUUGCUUGACAAAGUGGGCUGUCGUUUAAAAAAAAUGUAGAUUACAAGUUUAAUGGACAAGCAAUUUGUGAUCUAUAAAGAUGUUGCUUCCUAUUGCUUUCACCAUUAUUUCCACCAAAGUAAAAUUUAUAGCUGAAAGUUAGAUCAGUUUCGUACACAUAGUAGAUCCAAAAUGUUACUACCAAAAAGGCUUCAGUUUUAACUUGCUACACUUUGCCUACCACUGGAAAUAUCCAAUUCGGAGUGCAUGAGGGUAAAAUUGAGUGUCAUUAUUGGUAGUGAAAUACUUUGUGAUUAGGAAAUAUAUCUUGACAAUUUGAUUAUAACAAAUGAAUAGAAAAAAAAUUAGAAAUACCUGCAUAUAUAGUUAUGGAACAGUUAGAGAUUGAAAUUUCAACCGGCCAGCAAGAAAGGAAAAGGGAGAGAAUCCCAAAAACAAUAGAAAUGUGUGGCAUGGGAGGAGCCCCUAUUAUGUCACCUCCUUAGUUUUCAAUUAAGAAAACGUAGUGAAAAUAUGAGAAUCCUUCCCAGCCACACAUCUCCAUUGGCCUCUGGGAGGCCUAUCUCCCAUUUCAAGUCAGCCAAUUCUAAGAGUGUAUUAUGCUCUCAAGAUUUAGAGCCCAUUAUUUAUAGGGAAGCCAAGGGUACAUAAGUUCAAAAAAUAACCUAUAGUGCCCAUGGUUUCCAUAUGGUGAGGAAUCUAUGCGCCAUCGUAGUUGUUUCACCACAUGUUUUGACAAUUUUCGUGAGGAAGCGAAAAGGAAAAUUGGGUUGGUAUUCUUGCAUGCUUCCCACACGUCGUAAAAUAAAUUCUUGAUAUACCUAUUAAACCAUUUCUUUUAUCAGUUCACGUGAUGAACACGAUGAGAGAGAUAAAGAGAAACCGGCCGGUUACAUCUGACACCUAUGAACAGAAAAGAAUCCAAAACCGUGAUAGGUUGGUGAAGGGAAGUGAUGUUUUUGGUUUUCCAAAAUUGGAUUUUGGAUUUUGGGGAUAUUAGUACCAGUUUUUGAGCCACUAAAUAAUUCGAUUGCAUAAUCAAACUUAAAACAAAAGUUACAGGUAUGUUAGAUAUGAAAUAUAAUUCAAUUGCCUUCUACUUGAUUAUGAUCUUCCUCGCUGGACUAUGAAUGCUAUUGGGCUUCUAAUUUGUUGCUCCAAAAACCCAUUUACCGCAACGGGCCAUUCAUCGGGCCUCCAUAAAUUCAGGUCCAAUCAACAUUUAUAUGGAGAUGAAUGCUAGAUUGGAAAAUCCAUGAAAUCUGCAGUAUGUGGUGGUGUAGAGGCUAUAUGCUGUGGUGGGGAUGAAUGGGGAGACAUAUGCAUAUGAAGGAUCACAUGGUUCUGUCUUCCACAUCAUCAAGAAUUUGGCAAUGAUUGAGACUUCAUAUCUGUUGGAUUGUGUUUUAGUUUUAAAUCUGAAGUCCUUGCUAGGACAGGAAGCUAGACAAGUUGCUGACUCUAAUAUAUCUUUAUAACGGUAUGUAAAUAUUUUUGUAGUUUGUCAAAAAUAAAAAAAUCUUGUCAUGCACCUAUCAAUAAUACAUUGAGGUUUUUUUUCCCUCAGAUAAUUUGUUUUUCUAAGGGUUUUCAAAAAUCUAGUUUAUGCAAGCUGGAAUUAUGCAAAUAGACUUUGGCAAGAGAAAAUUAAUGUCAUAGCAUAUUGUCAUGAAACAAAUAUUUGUGUCAGGAGUUGAUUUGCAAGAAUGUGUUUCAUCAAAAUUUGAUAACUUAGGAUCAAUCAAGCAUUAAAAAUGCCACUGAAAUGGGCAUGAUAUUUCCCCAAUCUGUAUGAGGAACCAUGUAAAAAGUUAUAUGGUCAGCAUUUUAGUCAAAUUCUUGUGCAAAUCUGCUACCACUUGUGGGAUUAACUAUAUAACAAGGGCUACAAGAAGAUAAUACUAUAAUGCAAACCAUAAGACAAGAAAGGAUGAGGAUUUCAAAUAGAUUGUAUAUUGCUCCUGGAGAACAACAAAGAAGUUUACAUAGGUUCAAAAGACAGAAUUUGACUGCCUUUGGGUGGGGGAUGAUAUUUGGACCAAUGGUUCUAGGGAGUUCAUAAUAUCAUCACUUGUCUGCUUCAUAAAAGCUCAGCCUAGAAGCAGCUUCAGCAUUUGAGAAGGUUUGCUUUCACCAUAAGAUGUGAGUUGAUUCCAUGGAUGAGCAGUGGUAGCCUCUUCUUCAUCCCAACUCAGCGAGUUCUGAAAUGUGGAUGCUUUGGAUAUGAUCAUAUCCAAAUUCUUUCAUCUUGGCUCAGUGAGCUCUGAAAUGAGGAUGGUUUGGAUAGAUUGGAUGACCGAUUCGUGUACACUCACACACUUAAGCGGGAAGUGAGAUCAAGGAAGGUGUUUUCACUGCAGGGGAUUGUGAUACCUCCCAUGGGAUGAUCAUAUCCGAAUUCUUCUUCAGCUUGACUCAGCAAAUCCAGGAAUAAAGGCUCAUUCAAAUAUGAUAUCGGAAUCACAAACCGCUUCUUCUGGCUCUCCCCAACAUAGACUGCAAAGUAGCCUUUUGGGAAAUCUAAAGUCUUUGAAUCUGCUGUCUGGCUUGAACUAGAUAGAGAUCGAAUGAGACUUCUCUUUGCGUUAACAAUUGCAGGCAACCGGAAACCCAUGAUCUUAUAUAUUCUCAAAGGACAAAAGAAGAGAGGGAAUUCAAAGGACUUGGAUUUGGAAAGCAGAGAAAGCUUUGGUGCUUGAGAAGGUGAAGACUUGAGUUGCUCAUGAUGAACUUGGUCAUGUGUAUAUAUAGAUCAAGGGUAUCCAGAAAAUCAACAGCUACAUGAAAUUAUUGGUCUGAGAUGGGCUCCAAUGAGGGACACUUGAUUGUGAGAAAUCACAUGGGCUUGUCGUCCUUCUCACGCAACACAUCCUCGAAAGAUUUCUCACGGAACUCUUCCCUACCUCCUCUAGGUAACAGACAACAAAAGGACCACUAGAGGUGAUUCAAUCCAAAAGACUUAUGUCUGUUAGGUAAGUAGCAUUUAUGCUUGAGACAUGCACUUCUCUUUGUUCACACUAAAUCAACUGACCACAUAAUUGGACUAUUAAACUACAAAGUUUCUUGAAUAGGUCUGCUAAUGAAUUGCCCUCUCACUUCAUCAAAAGACCAACAACACUGCAUAUGUUGUGGUCCUACCCAACACUAAUACAAUUGUGUUGUGUGGUGCUAAAUAGCUUGCUUGGGAGCAGCAAGGCACCCUACAUGUGGCUUUGUAGUUACGACUCUGAUCUUCAGUCUCAGCAAACAAAGGAGGUAUUUAUUUCAUUUUGUUAGGCCAAUCUGGACUUAACCAGAAAACACUAUUGAUUUAAAUAGUUGACAUUACUUGAUCAAGAAAACUGAAGUUAAUAAAUUGAACUUAAGCUACUCGGUCUAAACUCAAUUUUUAAAAAACCAUUUUCCAUUACAACUCUUGGUUUAACAAAACCAUUGCCAGUCUUGUUUUAGGCAAGUUCGGCGAAAAGCCUACUAGAGAAAUCUAGAAAAUUCUAGAGAGAAGGAGAAGCUAGGUUGAUAAUCUCUUCUUGCCUUUGCUUAUGGCAACAACUGAAGAAGCCAUGUAAACUUGGCUUGCACUCUCUAGCAUAGGGAAAGUCGUGCAUAUAUAUUGUGCCAUUUUUUUAUGAAAGAAACUUAGUUGUUCGGCUCAGUGUCUCUCUAUAUUAACUCAUGAUGACUCUCCUCCUUAUUAUUCUUUCGGGUUAAUCAUUUUAUUAGUCCUUUAAUUUAGACCCGAUUUGCAUUUAAGUACCUCAAUUUUCAAAAUAGUUCUCAUGGUCCUUCAACUUCACUUUAGUUAGGACAAAUGGUCUUACUGUUAAUAUUGUUAACUUUUCUAUUAAAUGCAAGGGAUGGUAUUUUUGUAUCAAAAUUGAUUAAAAUAUGAAUAAAAAAUUAAAAAAUUAAAAAAUCAAAAUUAUACUCUCUUUCUCUCCCCCUCUAUCCCGAUUUCUACUCCCCCAAAACUUUUUUUUUUUUUUUGUUGGUUUUUUAUUUGAUUUUCUUUUAUGGUUAUUUUAAAGAUAUGAUUUUUUAUUCAUUUUUUUGGUUUUAAAAUAAAAUUACCAUUUUGUCCCAGCAUUUAACAGAAAAAGUUAACAAAAUUGAUGGUAGGACCAUUUAUCCUAAUGAAAGUGAAGUUAAAGGACCACGGGAACCAUUUUAGAAAUUGAGGUACUCAAAUGCAAAUUGGGUCUAAGUUCAGGAACUAAUAAAACGAUUAACCCUUAUUCUUUCAAUCCAUUGAGAGAUGUUACGCAUACUGUGCUUAAUAUAUUAUUAAAUUAUCAGAUACAGUCAUACAGGGUAAAGAUUCCCUGUAUGAAAGGAGGCUACUAAUUUUGGCCCCAUGGAUAAAGGAAGUACUUUGGCCCCAUUGAUAAAGGAAGUACUGAGUAAACCAUUAUACUUUCAUUUUUUGAAAAAUAUGCUGUCAUUGAUGAUUUUAUUUUAUGACAGAGCUACAAGUACAAUGAAAAAUAAGACAAGAAAGUGGAUCAGGAUUUAAAUUUGCAUUCCAAUAUAUUUUCCUGGAGAGUAACAAAGGUUACACAUGAGAAGAUCAUAGCAUCCAACCCAAAUGUGGAGAGGCCCAAGAUCUUUUAUACUACAAUGCACGUCUUUAAGUUCCGUAUGUACUCUCAAGGACAAUAGUUCAAAAUUUCGAUCAUGAUUUUGGACUAAAGUUUUUCAACGUCCAUAGUAUCUUCGUUUGUCGGAUUCAUGAACUUUUUAACUUUAUGCUCAGAUCACAAGCAGCUUCAGGCUUACAGAUUGCUUCCUCUCAGCACAAGAUGUAAGUCGACUCAGUGGACGAUCAAGAAUAGCCCCGUCCUCAUCAUUACUUAGUGAUCACUCAUACACUUAAGCGGGAAGUGAGAUGAAGGAAGGUGUCUUCACUGCAGGGGAUUGUGAUACCACCCAUGGGAUGAUCAUAUCCAAAUUCUUCUUCAGCUUGACUCAGCAAAUCCAGGAACAAAGGCUCAUUCAAAUAAGAUAUUGGAAUCAAAAACCGCUUCUUUUGGCUCUCCCCAACAUAGACUGCAAAAUAGCCUUUUGGGAUAUCUAAGGUCUUUGAAUCAGCCGUCUGACUUGAACUAGAUAGAGAUCGAAUGAGACUUCUCUUGGCGCUAACAAUUCCAGGCAACCGGAAACCCAUGAUUUAGUAUUCUCAAGAGGACAAAACAAGAAGAAAAAGAUUGGCAAGGACUUGGAAAAAACACAGAGAGCUUUGGUGCGUGGGAAGGAUAAGACAUGAGUUGCUCAUGAUGAACCCAAGCAUAGUAUAUAUAUAGAUGAAAGGUAUGCAGAAAAUCAUCAGGUACAUGAAAUGAUUGGUACUGAAGGGGCACUGGGAGGAGAAGCAAUGAGGGACACUAGCUUGUACCAAAUCACAUGGGUUUGUUUUCGUGCUCAUGUAACCCUUCCGCAAGAGAUAUCUCAUGAAAAUGAUCAAACUCUAUCGUUGUGUAGAAACAGGAUUCCCUACCUAGCUAGCUCCUCUGGUUAACAGACAACAAAAGGGACCACCAUGUUCUUGAAAAAUGAAUUCAUUGAGUUGGACGCUCCUCUGGUUAAUAGUACCGCAUAUGGUAUGCCCUACAACAAAAACUUGUUAGCUUGUGAUAAAUUAGUAGUCUCUUUCUUUUUCAUCUUUUUAUAAAUGCUGCUUCAAAAGACAAGAAUUUGUGGUGCUAUGAGAAUUUACAUGGACCCUGGGAUGCUCUAUAGUUUGGUUGGUUGGGAGCACCAAACCACCACCCUAGCAUGUGGCUUUGUCCUUUCAUCUAUGAUCUUCAGACUCAACAAGCAAGAGAAGUCUUUCAUUUGGUUGAGGAAUUGGUACUUUUUUAGCACGCAGUAGGUAAUGAGUACAUAUCUAAAAAGCAUGUUGUAUCAAGAUUAAUGUGGUCUCGAGAGUGCUAAUUUGUUGCUGUCAAGAAACUAUAAACAUAUUUAUCUGAAUCCCAUCCACAAAUCAACAAGUAUCUUUUCGUAUCCACAAAUCUCUAAAACUUCAAGUGGGCAUCCAUGUUUGUAGGUUGUCAUAGAAAUGGUUGGGGGCAUAAUGUUCGCCAACAAAUAUACAGAUUCAAACAAUAUAUAGCUACCAAGUUGUUGAGAUUGAGAUGGAACUUGGAAGACAGAAGCAUGUGAUCUUUCAAAUGCUUAUGUCACUUGCCAACCCCAACCUAUUUGCUUCCACACAGUUGUCUCCACAUUCAGUAUUUUCCUAUAGACCUUUUCAUCUAUAUAUAUCAGAUCAUAAAAUAAUCAAGAAAACCACAGACUUUCCAAAAUCUGUUCUCCAAGUCAUUUUUUAACUUCAACGUAUUCUCAAGUGAUAACUUAGACUUUUAAACAUGGCUAUCAGAUUGCCUAGUAUUAUGCAAGCAAAGCAGAUCCUCUGCCGGGGGAGUUUGUUUGCUAACCGCGCAGCUUCAACAUCUUUAGUAGGUGUUCCAAAAGGCUUCUUCGCAGUGUAUGUUGGAGAGAAUGAAAAAAAGAGAUACAUGGUUCCAAUUUCAUUAUUGAGUCAGCCUUCAUUUCAAGAGUCGUUAAGUAAGGCAGAGGAAGAAUUUGGAUUUGACCAUCCAAUGGGUGGACUCACAAUUCCUUGCAGAGAAGAAAUCUUCGUUGAUCUCACUUCUCGGUUGUAUGGCUUGUGAUUCAUGGUUCACAUAUAAAUUAUCUGAACAAAUUGUAAAGACUUAUACAUUCUCUUGCAUCUAUGCUUUUUAGCAUAAGAAGAAAGGGAUCCAAAUUUUUUGACUAGUUGAGAAAGUUGCAAAUGGAAAUAGUUGGCUGUACAUGAUGAUCGAUUCUAGAAUUAGCAACAUCGAAUGAAAAAUUUCUCUCUUUCAAUUCUGAAAUGAUUUACAGUCCAUUACCUUGGUAACUUUCUUUUCUGCCACUUUUUUUACCAUCCAUUUUAUUUUUUUGAUUGUUUAUGACACCAUAUGAAGAAAACUUAAGCAAUAUGAAGGGGUAAAAUAGAACAGAGAGAGUAACGUUUGUUUGUAUUAACCCCCUUCAAAGUUAAAAUUACACAAAAUGGCAGACUUAUGUGUACUCUUCAAAAGGGUUUGUCCAGCAAAUUGAUGUAUUAAGCUAACAAAAGCCUGGUAAACUAGGGGGCCAGCAUAUUAUAAAUUAUUUCCAUUUUGUCUUGCCUAAACAAACUAGGCCUGCAUAUCAAGUAACUGGAUUUCUAUGAAAACUAAGCCAAUGGAGAGAAUACAUGGAAGCAAAAUGGUUGUCUUCCGUUUUGCUGCAUGAGAUUUCGGUGACGGGAGAUGGGCCAGUGCAUCGACUCAUUAAAGUGAAUUGUGAUGGCGCUUGGUCGGCAACCAUGUCUCAGGGUGGCUAUGGAUGGGUGGCUAGAUCAUCUGUGGGCUUGUUUAUUGCUGCAGGUGGUGUGGGCGGCUUUCCAUGCAUCUCUAGUCCUGUGACAGAGGCAGAGAGGCAGUGCAAGGAGCAAUGUUUUAAGUUGUGUUGAAAUGGGUACAUUCGGGUGGAUGUGGAGUCUAACUCAAAGGUGUUAAUUGACAUGCUCCAAACUGGUGAGAUCACAGAUGCUUCAGUGGAGGGUGUCAUCCAUGAUAUCAAUUGCCUCAGCUCUCAACUGACUAAUAUCGUGUUCAAGUUCGCGCUGAGGGUGCAACAAUGCUGCACAUGCAGUUGCAGCUUAUGUUACUCGACGCAACGGUUCCUAUCACUGGAAUAGGGAUGCCGGACUGGUUGUUUAAUAUUUUAGCUUCUGAUACUAAUGUUCCCAUUAGACUUUAAUCAAUCUAUCUAUUAUUGAUGAAAAAAAACAAAACAAAAAAACAUUAUUUUAAGAGAUUUUUAUUUGUUCUGCAACCAGUCUCAUCUGUGUAAGAAGUAGGAAUUGCUCUUCCAACUUGUCCUACCAUCAAUAUGUGCUUGGCAAGAUAUAUUGAUUUUCCUCUAUCUGGAGUUCGAAAUCAAAAUUUUCCACUGCUAUCUCAAAGGCCACAGAGGCAUGGAAAGGCAUCAUCACUACGUAUAUUUAAGAAGUUAAUGAAAGACUCAUGAAAGAAAUUUUUGUGUCGCAACUUUUGAGUUACAAGAAUGUACUCCAUAAAUGAAAAAAAUGUGAACCGAAGACACAUAUAAACAGGCUUAAAAGUCAUAAAUAUGACUGUAUCUGCAGAUAUCUUAUAGGGAAAUACCCAGAAGAAAUUGUUCUGAGCCACUACUUAUAAAACAAACGAAUUAUAUACUUCAAUUCUUGUGCAAAUCUGCUGCCAUUUGGUGAUUCAAUAUAUAACAGAGCUACAAGAAGAUAACAAAGUAAUUAAAGUAUAAGACAAGGAUGGAUAAGGAUUUAAAAUAUAUUAUAUGUCACCAUAUAUUCCUGGAGAGCAACCAAGAAGAUUACAUAGGGUUAAAAGACAGAGAAUUUGACUGCCUUUAAGUUCAAAACCUGAUAUCAUCAUUUGUAUGCUUCAAAAUUUCUAUGUUUCUGCUCAUAUCCAAGCAGCUUUAGGAUUGCAGAAGGUUUGAGUCGAUUUAAUGAAUGAUCAACUGUGGCCUCUUCUUCAUCCUAACUCAGUGAUGAGUUCUGAAAUGAGGAUGCUUUUGAUAUGAUCAUAUCCAAAUUUUCUUCUUCAUCUUGACUCAGUGAGUUCUUCAAUGAGGAUGGUUUCGAUGGUUUCGAUCCAUUUGCUUACAUUCACACACUUAAGCAGGAAGUGAGAUGAAGGAAAGUGUCUUCACUGCAGGGGAUUGUGAUACCACCCAUGGGAUGAUCAUAUCCAAAUUCUUCUUCAGCUUGACUCAGCAAAUCUAGAAACAAAGUUUCAUUCAAAUAUGAUACUGGAAUCACAAACCGCUUCUUCUGGCUCUUUCCAACAUAGACUGCAAAAUAGCCUUUUGGGAUAUCCAAGGUCUUUGAUUCAGCUGUCCGGCUUGAACUAGAUAGAGAUCGAAUGAGACUUCUCUUGGCGUUAACAAUUCCAGGCAACCGGAAACCCAUGACUUUUAUAUUCUCAAGAGGAUGAAGAAUAAGAAACAGAAUUUAAAGGACUAGGAAAACAGAUAAAGCCUUGAUUCUUAGAAAGGUAAAGACUUGAAUUGCCGAUGAUGAGCCUGAUCAUGUGUGUAUAUAUAUAGUCGAAAGGUUAUGCAGAAAUUAUAUCCUUGUUUAGAAACAGCAUUCCCUACCUUGCUAGAUAAGAGGGAACAGCCAAAUGUGAAUUAACAAUCCAAUAAAAUUAUGCAUGCUUGAUAAGGAACCAACUUGUUCAUAAUUAGAUUUUUUUUUUUUUUAAAUGCUGUACAAACAAGAAUGUGUGGUGCUAUGAAAACUUUAACAUGGGGCCUGAAUAAGAAGAGAUGCUAUUUAGUAUAUAGCUUGAUUGGCAGCACCAAGCCAUCCUACCAUGUGCCUUUGUCAUUUCAGCUAUGACCUUGAGUCUCAAAACUCUCAACAAGAAAACGAAGUGUAGAAAAUAUAUUUCCUUGUAUUUAACAGAUUACACAAAGUCCCUAUUUAGACUAGUACAGGAUAUCUACUUAAGGUAGGAAAUAAUAGAGACAUGAAUACAAUCCGAUUUACAGCAGGAAAUCCAAUUUACAGCAGGAAAGGCUAAUUGCUAGGAGGAGAUUGUGAAGUUGACUUCCGUGUAGGCAAGGAAAGGAAAGUUGCAUUAACAUGAAGCAUCUCAUUUUGUUUGGUCUAUCUGAAUUGUAGCCAGAAAACCCCUCAGAUCAUUUAUUUGACCAUCAGUUUUGAUUUAUUAGUUGAACUCUUGGUUGAGUAAAACCAUUGACAUUUUUGUUUUAGGCACGUCCGGCUAAAACCCUAAAAUCACCUACUAGAGAAAUCUAGCAAUUCUAGAGCCAAGGGAGAAGCUGUGUUGACAAUUUCUUCUCCUCUUUCCUUAUGGCAACUGAAGAUAUCUGUUAACAAGCAAGUAGUACCUGUAAUUAAUCUACAAAUUUAUUUUGCCAUUUGGUCACAUGUUUCCCCACCCCUAACAUUGUAGUAAUCAAAUGUUAUUCCGACAUUUACUUGUAAUUAAUCAAACUUACCAGAUAACAUACAAAAUAACUGACAAGAAGUUAGUUCUGCAGGAUAUUUAAAGAGCAUUGCAAAAGAAAAAUAAUUUAGGUGAAAAAAUGAGCAUGAACCAGGUGAGAUCUUAUUUUUGAAAAGUUGAUACAUAUUGAACGUGCAGUAGGUAUUGCGUACAUUUCUAAAAUUCUAAGAACCGUAUUUUAACAAGAUUUGUAGACAUAAAUGUCUAAAGAGUGCUAAUUUUUUUUUUCUCAAGAAAUUAUAGCCACAAAUGUCCGUAGCCUGACCUAAAACUGUAUUCAAAGGAACAAGCAGCUUCUCUAUCCACACAUCUCUAAAAUUCCAAGUUUGGGGUUCUAUGCGUGUAGGUUGUCAUAAAAAUGGUUGGGGCAUAAGGUUCUCCAACAAAUAUACAGACUUAACAGCUAACAACUUCAGAUUGGGAUGGAAGACAAAGCCAUGUGAUCCUUCAAAUUCUUAUGUCACUUGCCAACCCAACCAUAUUUUCUUCCAUCCAUUUCUUUCCACAUUCCAAAUAUUUUCCUAUCCACCACUUCAAAUUUCAUCUAUAUAUAGAGACACUUCCAUACUAUCCCAUAAACAAAUCAACUCUUCAUCAUCAUCUUUACUAAAUCUUUUCUUCGAGUUAAUUUUCAACUUCAAGCUCUUUCAACAGUGUUAAUACAGACUCUUAAACAUGGCUAUCCAAUUUCCUAGUAUUAUGCAUGCUAAGCAGAUUCUCCGACGAGGACGUUUUCUUGCAAACGGAGCAGCUUCAACAUCUUCAGUGGGUGUUCCAAAAGGUUUCUUGGCUGUGUAUGUUGGAGAAAGCGAAAAAAAGAGAUACAUGGUUCCAAUUUCAUUCUUGAGUCAGCCUUCAUUUCAAGAGUUGCUAAGAAAGGCAGAGGAAGAAUUUGGAUUUGACCAUCCAAUGGGUGGACUCACAAUCCCUUGCAGAGAAGAAAUCUUCAUUAAUCUCACUUCUCAGUUGAAUGGCAUGUGAUUUGUGAUUAAAAUAUAAAUUAUCAGAGACAAUUUUGUAAAGACUUAUAUGACCAGUUGAGGAAGUUGUAAAUAGAAAUUGUAGACAAUCUUUACAUUUGUUAUCGAUUACAGAAAGAGCAACAUUAAAGAUAUUGUUUCUCUUUGGAUUCGGAUAUGAUUUCAGUCCAUUACCUUGCUUUCUUUCUUUUCCUGUCACUUUUUUUUUUUUUUGGGAUAUUCCUUUUAUUUUUUAUCACUUCGUACAUCGUUUAGAUUGUCCUUGAUACAAUAUUAAUUUAUUAACAAAAUUUAAGCAGUAUGGACUGUUUGUAUCGACUUUGUACAUGUAACUUCAGACAUUUACAUGUCUCUUAAGAUGGUUUUUGUAGAGAAUAUAUUUCCUUGUAUUUAACAUAUUACACAAAGCCCCUAUUUAUACUGGUACAGGAUAUCUAGUUAAGGUAGGAAAUAAUAUAGGCAUGAAUACAAUCCGAUUUACAGCAGGAAAGGCUAAUUGCUAGGAGGAGAUUGUGAAGUUGACUUCCGUGUAGGCUAGGAAAGGAAGGCUGCGUUAACACCCCCCGCAAACUGGGCGUCAUAGGAUGCACAAGUUUGGAAGACAUAUGCUGAUGGCGUGGUUUGUGAAGAGCUUUGGUGAACAGGUCCGCAGGUUGGUCGACAGAAGGAACAAAGCAGACUUGAUGACUUCCAAGAGCCACCUUUUCACGAACAACAGUUUUUGCCAUUUGUUGAUAAUCACAAUAGAAAUUCAGUCACUUCAAAGCUGAAAGUACACAAAAGGGCUAGAAAGUUCAUACUGAAUGAACAAAUGAUAACAUAAUGCUUAAAGAUAGCCGUAUGUUAUUGCCAUGAGGAGUUUCGAGAAUUCCACAGCUAUCUCAAACAAAUGAGAGUCAUCAGAUGGGAUAAGCAGGGAUCUGCUGAGAGCUCAAGGAGCCACAAAGCCACCAAAAGGCAACAUUCCUAUCUAUAUAUCGAGAACUUAAUGGUAGAACUAUUAAACAAUUUUUUGAGUUACAGCAUUGUUGUUGAAGUUUUGGAUUACAGAGCGAGCUAGAAGGUACAGAGAAGGAUGAUGAUAGAAAGAGCAAACAGAGAAAAUAUGUAAAUGUUCUCUGGUACGAUCUACUGCUCAAAAUGCAGAGAUCACACCUUUUGUAUUCAUUCUCAUUCUUUCAUUACAUCAGCCAAUCACCUCCAUUCUGUUAGAAGAGCCAAUGUGAAUGUGACACAUGGCAAUACAAAGGCUAAGAGCCGUUGGAAACUAACUGACUGCAAUACACCUUACACUUGGCAUAUGAGCUCAAGCCACUCAACUAACACAAUGCUUAAUGAAACUAGAAGGAAAAACAGACUAAGUAAAUUACUAACUAACUAGAAAUUAGCUAGUCAAUUUACAUUUCAACAAUUGUAAUAUAUAAAAAUUAUGAAAUCAUUCGAUUCCUUGGCAACAAGCAUCAAAUGGAACCGACAUGGACAUGAUAUUUUCCAUGUGCUUUGGUGAACCUAAGUCACAAAUAUCAAUAGGGUAGAAAAUCUCAUAUAUGAAUGUAUCUGCAGAUAUCUUAUAGGGAAAGACCCCAAUCAUAAUUUUGAGAGACUGGAUUCACUGGAAUAUGAAAAUGCAGUUUAAUUCAAGAUCCGAAUCUGUAUGAGACACCAUGUAUAAAUAAGUAUGAGUAACCAAUUAUACUUCAGUUCUUGUGCAAAGCUGCUGCCAUUCAGUUCUUGUGAAAACUAUAAGAGAAGAAUGGAUGAGCAUUUAUCAUAUGUUAUAUAUUCUUGUAUAUUCCUGUAGAGUAACAAAGAAGUUUACAUAGAAUUACAAGACAACAAAUUUGACUUCCUUUGAGUUCAAAAUUGGAGUCAUGAUUUUUGGAACAAUGGUUUUGUGGACCUCAUCAUAUCAUCAUUUUUCUGCAGCAACAAUUUCUAUGAUUCUGCUCAGAUCACAAGCAACUUCAGCAUUACAGAAGGGUGAGCUGAUUCUAUGAAUGAUCCAUGGUAACCUCUUUUUCCAUCCAAACUCAGUGGUUUCUGAAAUAAUGAUGCUUUGGAUAUGAUCACAUCAAAAUCCUUCAUCAGCUUGACACAGUGAGGUCUGAAAUGAGGAUCUUUUCGAUGAUUUUGAAAUCCAUUCACGCUCAGUCAUACACGUAAGCGGGAAGUAAGAUCGAGGAAGGUGUUUUCACUGCAGGGGAUUGUGAUACCACCCAUGGGAUGAUCAUAUCCAAAUUCUUCUUCAGCUUGACUCAACAAAUCCAGGAAUAAAGGUUCAUUCAAAUAUGAUACCGGAAUCACAAACCGCUUCUUCUGGCUCUCUCCAACAUACACUGCAAAAUAGCCUUUUGGGAUAUCUGUCUUUGAUUCAGCUGUCCGUUUUGAAGUAGAUCGAGAUCGGAUGAGACUUCUCUUUGCAUUAACAAUUCCAGGCAACCUGAAACCCAUGGCUUUUAUAUGCUCAAGAGGACAAAAGAAGAAGAAAAUGAAUGCAAAGGACUUGGAAAAGAGAGAAAGGUUUGAUGCUUGGGAAGGUGAAGACUUUAGUUGCUCAUGAUGAACUUGAUCAUGUGUGUAUAUAUAGAUGAAAUGGUAUGCAGAAAACCGUAUGGUACACUACAUAAAAUGAUCGGUGAAGAGGCACUGAGAGGGGAAGCAAUGAGGGCCACUUGCUUGUACCAAAUCACAUGGGUUUGUCUAUCUGCUUGUGCAACUCAGCCUCCAAAAAACUUCUCUGGAUAAUGGCCAAUCUGUAUCCUUGUGGAGAAACAGCAUCUCUACCUAGCAAUCUUCUCUGUGUAACAGACAACAAAAGGGACCAGCAGAUGUGAAAUUUCAAUCCAAUAAAAAAAAAUCCUCUUAGAGAAGAGGCCCAUAUAUGUUGGAGUAAUCACUAAUUACUGUUCAAGAUUAGGUCUGCUAACCCUUAAUUGCAUAUACAUUUUCUUGAAUAAUGAAUUCUUUGAAUUGAAUGCUCAUUCGAAGUCACGGAAAGAUAACCGACAGAACCGCAUAUGUGCCCUACCCAACGAAAGCUUGUGUGACAGGACAACUAAGUUGUUAACUUGUGUGGCAAACAAUUAAGUUGUUAGCUUGUGUGGCAAACAAUUAGUCUUCUUUCUCUUCUUCUUCUUUUUUUUAAUUGUGCUUUGAAAGCAAGAAUUUUUGUGGUGCUAUUGGAAUUUGACAUGGGGCCUGGAUAAGAAUGGAUGCUCUAUAGCUUGAUUGGUUGGGAUGAGAGAACCAAACAACCCUACCAUGUGGCUUUUUUCUUUCAUCUAUGACGUUCAGUUUCAACAAGCAGAGGAAGGAUUCAUUUGUAUGAACACUCUGGACUGUCACCAGAAAACGGAACUGGUAAAAUAUUUGACCAUCAGUUUUCAAUUGUUUAUUGGAAGAGUGGAAACAUGGAACUGAUGAUUCAGAUACAACACAUAAUAAAUGGCAGGAAUUCCGUUCCGCAGGAUAUUUCAAAGAGCUUUGCAAAAAAAUAGAAAUAAAAAUUUAGGUGAAAAAAAUGAUCCUACAUUGGCUGAGAUCUUAUUUUUGAAAAGCUGCACAUGCAGUAGCUAAUUUGUACAUAUUUAAUUUGGUCCAAAGAAUGCUAGUUAAUCUAUUUCUGUCAAGAAAUUAUAGACAUAGAUAUGUCUGAAGCCAGUCCUUUAUUGAAAGGAAGCUUUUGCUAUCCACACGUCUCUCUGAAAUUUCAAGUGGGGUUUAUAGGUUGUCAUGAAACUGGUUGGGGGCAUGAUGUUCUCCAACAAAUAUACAGACUUAACAGCUACCAAGUAAUUCAUAUUGAGAUGGAAGACAGGGCCAUGUGAUCCUUCAAAUUCUUAUGUCACUUGCCAGCCCCAACAUAUUUGCUUCCAUGCAUUUCUUUCCACAUUCCUGAUAUUUUCCUACAUACCCUUUCAAUUUUCAUCUGUAUAUAUAUACAUACACAAUUAUCCCAUAAACAAAUCAACUCCACAUCCGCCAUCUUAACCUAAAUCUUUUCUUCCUGCCAAUUUUCAGCUUCAAGCUCUUCCAAAGUGAUAACACAGACAUUUAAACAUGGCUAUCCAAUUGCCUGGUAUUAUGCAUGCUAAGCAGAUUCUCCAACGAGGAAGUCUUUUUGCAAACCGAGCAGAUUCGACAUCUUCCAUAGGUGUUCCAAAAGGCUUCUUACCAGUGUAUGUUGGAGAGAGCAAAAGAAAGCGCUACAUGGUUCCGAUUUCAUUCUUGAGUCAGCCUUCAUUUCAAGAGUUGCUAAGUAAGGCAGAGGAAGAAUUUGGAUUUGACCAUCCAAUGGGUGGACUCACAAUCCCUUGCAGAGAAGAAAUCUUCAUUAAUCUCACUUCUCAGUUGAAUGGCAUGUGAUUUAUUGCUCAAAGAUAAAUUAUCAGAAACAAUUUUGUAAAGACUUGUGCAUUCUCUUGUUUCUAUGCUUUCCAUCAUAAGAUAUAAGGGAUUCUAACUUGUAUGACCAGUUGAGGAAGUUGUAAACAGAAAUUGUUCACACUAUACAUUUGUUAUUGAUUUUAGAAUACAUUGGAAUAAUAGACCAAAAUAAACAGAAUACAUUGGGAUAGCUCUAUGCCGGAAAAAAUUCCUUUUACCUUGUUAAAUUUAUUUCCCUGUCCUUGAUACAAUAUGGAAUCACAAUGGAAAUUAAGUUACUUAAAAAGUUGAAAUGACACAAUACGGCUAGCAAGUUCAUGUACAAAGUGAACAACGGAUAACCGUAUAACUAAGGAAGUAUUUUAUUGCCAUGAGGAAAUUCAUGUUUUCUACAGGUAUCUCAAACAAAUGAGAGUCAUCAGAUGGGAUAUGCAGGGAUCUGCUGAUAGAUCAGGAAGCCACAAAGGCACCAAAAGGUAACAUCCCUAUCUAUAUUCAAGAAAUUCCCACAUAUGACUAUGUAGAUAUCUUAUAGUGAAAAGUCCCCCACCUCACCUCCCCCCAAUAUCAUUAGUUUAGAGAGAUUGGAUUCACUAGAAUUUUAAAAUGCAGUCUAAUUCAAGAUCCCAAUCUGUAUGGGGCACCAUGUUUAUAAUUAUUUUUUUUUAAGUAUUAAUAAGCAAUUUACUGCAGUUCUUGUGCAAAUCUUCUGCUAUUUAGUUCUUGUGAAGAAUGGAUGAGGCAUUUAUCAUAUAUUAAAUAUUCUGGUGGACCAACAAAGAUGUUUACAUGGGAUUAAAAGAAAAUAAUUUGACUUCCUUUGAGUUCAAAAUUGGAGUCAUGAUUUUUGGACCAAUGGUUUUGUGGAGUUCAAAAUACCAUCAUUUAUCUGCUACAUAAAUUUCUAUGCUUCUGCUCAGAUCACAAGCAGCUUCAGGAUUACAGAAGCUCUGCUUCCAACACAAGAUGUGAGUUGAUUCUGUGGAUGAUCAAUGGUAGCCGCUGUUUCAAUCCAAAGUGAUUUCUGAAAUGAGGAUUCCUUGGAUAUGAUCACAUCAAUAUUCUUCAACAACUUGACUCAGUGAGUUCUGCAAUGAGGAUCGUUUCAAUGCUCUUGAUGAUCGAUUCUCGUUUAGUCAUACACUUAAACUGGAAGUAAGAUCAAGGAAGAUGCUUUCACUGCAGGGGAUUGUGAUACCACCCAUGGGAUGAUUGUAUCCAAAUUCUUCUUCAGCUUGACUCAGCAAUUCCAGGAACAAAGUCUCAUUCAAAUAUGAUACUGGAAUCACAAACAGCUUCUUCUGGCUCUCUCCAACAUACACUGCAAAAUAGCCUUUUGGGAUGUCUGUCUUUGAUUCAGCUGUCUGGUUUGAAGUAGAUCGAGAUCGAACGAGACUUCUCUUUGCGUUAAAAAUUCCAGGCAACAGGAAACCCAUGGCUUUUAUAUGCUCAAGACGACAAAAGAAGAAGAAAAAAAAAUGCCAAGUACUUGGAAAAGAGAGAUAGGUUUGAUGCUUGGGAAGGUGAAGACUUUAGUUGCUCAUGAUGAACUUGAUCAUGUGUGUAUAUAUAGAUGAAAGGGUAUGCAGAAAACUAUAUGGUACACUACAUGACAUGAUUGGUGAAGAGUCACUGAGAGGGGAAGCAAUGAAGGCCAUAUGCUUGUACCAAAUCAUAUGGGCUUGUCUUCCUGCUUAUGUAACUCAUCCUCCAAAAACUUUCUCUGGAUAAUGGCCAAGCUCUAUCCUUGUGGAGAAACAGCAUUCCCUACUUAGCAAUCUCCUCUGGGACCACUAGAUGUUAAAUUUCAAAGAUAAGCCUGUUUGACAAGAGGCUCAUAAAUUCAUUGAAUUGAGUGCCAAUGCAGAGUCACAAGAGAUAACCAACAGUACUGCAUAUGUGCCCUACCCAAUAAAAGCUUGUGUGGGAUGACAACUAAGUUGUUAGCUUGUGUGGCAAACAACUAGUAUUCUUUUCUUUCUUCUUUUUCUUCUUGUUUUUUUUUUAAUGCUGCUUUGAAAACAAGAAUUUGUGGUGCUAUUAGAAUGGAUGCUUCUUGAUUGGUUGGGUGGGAGAACCAAACAACCCUACCAUGUGGCUUUGUCCUUUCAACAAGAAAAGGAAGUAUCUCAUUUGUUUGAACACUCUGGACUGUCACCAGAAAACUGAACUGGUUAAAUAUUUUACUAUCAGUGUUCAAUUGUUUAUUGAAACAGUGGAAACAAGGAACUGAUGAUUCAGAUACAAUACAUAAUAAAUGAUAGGAAUUUUGAUCUGCAGGAUAUUUCAAAGAGCUUUGCCAAAAAAUGAAAAAUGAAAAAUUAGGUGAAUAAAAUUAUCCUGCUCUUGCUGAGAUCUUAUUUUUGAAAAGCUGAUCAAUGGGUACCCUUUAUUGACACUGGUAUUCUUUACCCUUUUUUAGCUGUCAAGGAAAUAGAUUCUUGACACUUCUUAACCGUCAAGGCAGUUUUUCUUGUAGUGUGAUACUUAUUGACCUUGCAGUAGGUAAUGUUUACAUAUUUAAUGUGGUCCAAAGAGUGCUAAUUAAUCUAUUGCUGUCAAGAAAUUAUAGACAUAUAUAUGUCUGAAGACUGUCCUGUAUUGAAAGGAAGUCAGCCACUCAAAUCAACAGAAGCUUUUGCUAUCCACACAUCUCUCUCUCUAAAAUUUCAAGUGGGGUUUCAUGUUUGUAGGUUGUCAUAAAAAUGGUUUGGGGCAUAAUGUUCUCCAAAAAAUAUACAGACUUCACAGCUACCAAGUAGUUUAUAUUGAGAUGGAAAACACAGCCAUGUGAUCCUUCAAAUUCUUAUGUCACUUGCCAACCCUACCAUAUUUGCUUCCACACAUUUCUUUCCACAUUCUACACACCCUUUCAAUAUAUAUAUACAUAUAUAUAUAUAUACACACACAUAUAUUAUCCCAUAAACAAAUCAACUCCUCAUCACCAUCUUAACCUAAAUCUUUUUCUUCCAGUCAACUUUCAACUUCAAGCUCUUUUUGAAAAGUGAAAAUUCAGAUUUUUAAACAUAUGGCUAUCCGAUUGCCUAGUAUUAUGCAUGCUAAGCAGAUCCUCCGAUGAGGAAGUCUUUUCGCAAACCGAGCAACUUCAACAUCUGCUAUAGGUGUUCCAAAAGGCUUCUUAGCAGUGUAUGUUGGAGAGAAUGAAAAAAAGAGAUACAUGGUUCCAAUUUCAUUCUUGAGUCAGCCUUCAUUCCAAGAGUUGCUAAGUAAGGCAGAGGAAGAAUUUGGAUUUGACCAUCCAAUGGGUGGACUCACAAUCCCUUGCAGAGAAGAAAUCUUCAUCAAUCCUAGAUUAAAUGACAUGUGAUCUGUGAUAAAAUUGUGAAUAGAAAUUGUAAACAGAAAUGACAAGAAAUCUUCCAACUUGUAUGACCAGUUGAGGAAAUUGUAAAUAGAAAUUGUUGUCACAACAGGAUUUAGUUAUUAACUUCAAAUGGGGUGGGUUGCAAACUUGCAACUUUGGAUAACUGUAGGCCGCACGUCAUGUGCUCUCCAAGAGGGAUUGUCUAGCAAGUUGAUGUAGUAUAGGACAAGAAGAAGACGUACAUUUUGUGUAUAGCUUUGGUAUAUAUAUAUAUAUUAUUUUCCCCAAAACUUUGUUUUAUAUCCACAUCCAUUCAUAAAUUGUGUGUGUUGUGUAGUGUAUACUUGUUAAACCUUUUAUGUUUGUUCAUACAAUAACAAGAAUUACAGAUAAUAGAUUUGAAUAAAAUUCUCAUAAUACAAUAAAAACUUAUAUAAACCGCAUUAGACCAAAAAAUGAACUUAUAGGCUAAAGGUUUUUUUAAAGGGCUGCUUCCCUCCUUCCCUCUUUCCAUCGAAGUAGGCAUUCUUACUUCCUGCAAAUCACAGUUUGACACAUUUUGCAAAAAUAAUUCAUGAAAACCACAAAAAGAAAAGUCUCUACAUACAUGUCAAACUGUGAUUGACUCCUACUUCCACAGAUUAACAGGAAAGUAGGAGUUCCUACUUCCACAGAAAGUGGUAAGUAUUUUCCUUUCUGAAAGAAAAGAAAAACAAUAAGAU
rnacentral:lncRNA from 1 species